CAAUCUUCGGGGAGGGCUGUCGCUCACUGGCAGAGCACGUGUGUUGUAUGCAAAAUGUCCUGGAUUCAAUCCUUGGCUUCUUCAGGUAGGGCUGGGGGAAAAUUCUGUAUUGAGAGUCACUGCCAGAUGGAGGCCAAUAGUCCACUUUUUGCAUAUGACAGCUUUUUGCAUUCCAUAUUACUCUUGUCUUGCAUUGCAUUGCUGUUGUUUGAGGGAUUGCUCAAACACUGAUUUUAACCUUGAAAGCCUUUGGGGUACAGGUCACAUCUGAGGCUCUGAUCAUGGUCCUGCCCAUACAUGAAAUCUGAUGGGCAAGUACCCAUGACAACUUUUCGGUGGUGGCAGUACGAUUUUCAAAUUCCUUUCUCUCAGCGGAUACACCAAACUCCUCUUCUUUUGAUAUCGAGACAUUUUGGUUCUUGAGUUUUUAGCGCUUGCUAUGUCUGGCUUUUUAAUCUGGUGUUUCUGAUUUUGUUUUAUCUGCUGCUGUUUUAAAGCUUCUUUUGUUACUUUUAAUGUCAUGUUUUUAUUUUGUGUAACUUACACAAGGUUAAAAACAAUCACUCAAUAUUUGUGUUCUAUGCACUAUUUUUUAAUAUAUAGACUUGCACCAUUGCAAAUUUGAAUCAGCUCUAAAAUUGACUGAUAUAUUAUUUAUUUUAAAAUGUUUUUAUACCCAGUGCUUUUUUCUGGGGGUACGCAGGGGUAUGCAUACCCUUAAACAUUUUGUGACUCUAACAGGAGAAGAAACUAAUUUUUUAAAGAAGUUUCUUCUCUAGCACGCUGAAUCAUCAGUUCCGUUGUUACCCCGAUGUCCAUUUACUAUAUUUAUUUUCCCCAAUUUGAACUAUAAAAUGGUGAUUUUCUUGAGUCAAAAUGAGAAUACCCCUAAACAUUUUUUAUUUAAAAAAGCACUGUUUAUACCACUUUGUAUAUAACAAUCACAAUGUGGUAUACAUCACAAUGUAAAAAUCACAAUAAGUAUACAAUCCUUAUCAUUUAUGGAGAAUAAUUUUCCAUGCUUGCUCUUUGUAAGGGUACAUGCAUGCUAUCUGAACUUAAGCGCACUGUUGGUAUAAUUACCUUCCAGGUAAUUAAUUUACCUAUUGUAAAAAUUUGUGCGAUGAAGUAGAUAGUUGGUGUGCAGUAUUGAGGCUGCAAUAUUAAGCACACUUACCAGGGAGUAAGUUCCACAGAAGUCAGUGAGACUAACUACUGAAUAAAAAUUAAUAAGAUUGCACUGUUAAACCAAGAGAAGCUUGGUGUAAGUUCUGAUGCAGAUAAAAUUAGAAACUUCCAUGUAUCUAUCUCUGUCUAUGACUAGAAUAAGCCCAUUUCAAAAGUUGUAAAUAUAAAAGUAUAAUUGUGAGAUGUGAUGUUUGUUUGCCACAUAUACAUAACACAGAGAGAUUGGAUUUCACCAGGUAUUGCCUUUUAUAUAUCAAGCAUGCCAUGGAAUGUCCUGUCCUGGGAGAAGCAUAUGGCUUCCUCUUUGACAGUCUUAAGACACUUGAUGAAAAUUCCCUAUUAGCCCUUGGCUUUUAGCUUGAAGUUUUUGCUGGGUUUUUUAAAAAAAGUAUUUUUAUGAUUGACGUGGUAUUGUAUAAUGUAAGCUGCACUGGGCAUUUUAGAUAUGAAAUGGAAAAGCGGGACAGAAAUAACACACAAAGCCACCAUCUGGAAAGCACACUGAGAGAAUCAAACUUCUUCCUUGCACAGAAUUAAUGUGCGCUAUGGAAAAAACCACAGAGCCUAGGACUUGCCGAUCAGAAGGUUGGCGGUUCGAAUCCCUGCGACGGGGUGAGCUCCCGUUGCUCAGUCCCUGCCAACCUAGCAGUUCGAAAGCACAUCAAAGUGCAAGUACAGUGGUGCCUUGCAAGAUGAAAUUAAUCCGUUCCACAAGUCUCUUCGUCUUGCGGUUUUUUCGUCUUGCGAAGCAUGGCUAUUAGCGGCUUAGCGGCUUUAAGAAAAAGGAAACAAACUCGCAAGAACUUGCAAGACGUUUCGUCUUGCGAAGCAAGCCCAUAGGGAAAUUCGUCUUGCGGAACAACUCAAAAAACACAAAACCCUUUCAUCUAGCGAGUUUUUCAUCUUGCGAGGCAUUCGUCUUGCGGGGCACCACUGUAGAUAAAUAGAUACCACUCCAGCGGGAAGGUAAAUGGUGUUUCCAUGCGCUGCUCUGGUUCGCCAGAAGCGGCUUAGUCAUGCUGGCCACAUGACCGGCUCUCUCGGCCAAUAAAGCGAGAUGAGCGCCGCAAGUCAUGACUGGACCUAAUGGUCAGGGGUCCCUUUACCUUUACCUUUUUAUUGAAAAAACAUGUAAAUUAAAUAGUGCCAAUUUAAAUAUGAUGCCGCCGUUUCCCUAAUCUAUGCACAAUAGUUGUAUCUAAGCAAGCAUAAACAGUUGUUCCCUGACUAAUAGCUACACAGCUCCUCAGGAAAUGUUAGUUAGCCAUAUUUGAAUUUGGUUUGUAUGAAGUCUGACCUUGAAUCUGAUCGUUAAGGGAGGGUUUCUGCAGUGUGCAAGUUUAGAAAUUAGACCUGUACUAUAUGUAAUCAAAGGGCUUCUAAUAUGCCAUUAAUGGGCUUCUGUCAUAUGAUAUGAGCUAUAAUAACUCCAGGGGACGCGGGUGGCGCUGUGGGUUAAACCACAGAGCCUAGGGCUGCCAACCUAGCAGUUUGAAAGCACAUCAACGUGCAAGUAGAUAAAUAGGUACCGCUCCAGCGGGAAGGUAAACGGCGUUUCCGUGCACUGCUCUGGUUCGCCAGAAGUGGCUUAGUCAUGCUGGCCACAUGACCCAGAAGCUGUACGCCGGCUCCCUCGGCCAGUGAAGCCAGAUGAGCGCUGCAACCCCAGAGUCAUUAAUGACUGGACCUAAUGGUCAGGGGUCUCUUUACCUUUACAAUAACUCCAGAUUUGAUCCAAGAAGCCUUAGUCCAGAAUUACAAAUCAGCAGCAAGAUAUUAUUCCUGCUGUUGAAAUAAUUCAUCUGGGUGGGUCAAGUAAUGUCUGUUUUGCACAUGUUUGGAGAGUAAUGCAACUGUUUUGACGAAAAGUGUGAAUUCUUAAUCUGUAGGAAAUGGUUUUCAGUUGUUUGACUUGCAUGUGACUAUAUAGUUUGAGUAUAAUACUGUAUAUGUUAUCAGUACUUGCACACUAAUGGUGCUUAUUAUCUUUGUAUUACAUUAUGAUUACAUUACAGAAAGCUGUGUAUUGCUUCCAGUGUCUCUUUCCAUGUUUACAAAAGUAAACAUUUAUAUAAGUAGACUUUGUUAUUAAUUCUGCUAUAUCUAUCUAGGGGAGCGUUAUUGUAUGGUUCUUCAGAGGCCAAGGAACGCCAGAUGAAAUGGUUUUAUUAAAAUUAUUUUAGUAGCAGCACGUAUAUAGUAUGAGGUCUACCAGGAAUCAUUCACAGCAAGUUAGCUUUUAGAGGGAGUGAGAGUUCUGACUGAAACAAGAGUUUGGAUCUGUUCCAGAUUAUGCAGUGUUAGAACUACUAGAAAAAUAUGGAGUGGACUUCUAAACAUUGCAGCUGCCAGAAUCAAAAUUGCAGAAUGCUACAUCUCCAAAUGUUGCAGGAGGUAAGAUAGCAAUGUCUACUGCCUGCCUUCUUUCUCACUGGCUCUCUGUGUGGCAUACUGGGAGCCCUAAUCAAUUCCAGUACGCUGGGGAGAGGGGGAACAGAACCAAAGAGGAAAUGGGCAGGAGAAGUCACAGUUGCUUUAUUUUUGGUUGCUGGAAGAGAUUAUGUUCACCAACUUGGAUCCUGGCAGCCCAAAUGGCAGCUUCUCGUGCUUGGGUAGAAUAGUCCAUAACUUGGGAACACAGAAAAUAUCCUGGCAGGGAGGUGGAUAUAAAUCCACUGGAUUAUGAACUGGAUAUAAAUCAAAAGCCGGAUAAAAUAAAUACAGUAAGUAAUAAAUAAUCAAUAAUCCUGCUCUUGUACUCAAGAAGAAAUAAAUAGGAAGAACAUUUAAUAAACUGAGCAGCACCAAUUGCAUGCCUAGAUGUCAAGCAGAUGAAUAAACAUCAAGACAAUGGACCUUGGCUAAUUUGUUUUGCAAUUUCCCUUUUUAUCAUAACCUAAGGAGGCAGCUAUAAUGACUGCUUUUGGUUAACAAUAGGUGCAUUAUCCAUUAUGUUUUACUUGUAAAGUGGCAUAUAAAGGAGUGCAAUGGGCUUAGGUCACCUGCCUCUACAGGGGAUUAAAAAGGGUAAAAAAAUCUGUCUUUAAUCCUUUCGUUCUCCUAGAUGCUCACUUGGCAAAAGAUGCAUUUCAUCAGAUGCUGAAAGCCAUUCCAAGGUGUCUUGCCAAAUAUUGGCCAUGGUAGAGUUACUAAAAGAUGUGUAGUAACAAUAAAGCCAGUGUGUCUCCAGUGAGGGCAGUGUGGAUGUGUCACUCCCAGGGCUGAAUUCACUCCAGUAUUUUAACCUGAUUAUCUGCUGGAAAAACUAGGGCAGGGGGAGCCUCUGUACUGGGGUGUUGUUAGGGGUUUUUUGGGGGGGGGCUGUUGUUGCUGUUAUUGGCUUUUUUGUAUUUUUAUUUUUAGAUCUUGUGAUCUAUGUGGAAAUGGUUCAGCUUGGUUGUGUGUUUUUCGAUGUUUUAUUUAUGACUACUUUUGUUACGUUGUGGUCAUGUGUUUUUCAUGUUGUAAGCUGCCUGGAGCAUGGUUUGAACCACAGAAAGUUGGUGCAGAAAUAAAAUUAGGUGUGCAUGUAUGUAUGUACCACUUGGCAGUGGAGUUUGUCCUUGUUCAGUGUUAAAUCUUUUUUGGGUGGAAGUUCAUUAGAAGUGUGUGUUUCAGGUACCAGAGGAAGGAAAUGUCACCAUCCAGGUGAUCACGGUUAACAUUAGUUCCAUGUACGUCUAGUAAACAUGAAGGUAGACUCCCUUAGAAAACCAUAAAACUGUUCUGCCAAGAUGGUACCAGGAAGCCCACCUCUCUUGUCGCUCCCCGUUUAAAAGGUCCAUCUGGUCCCGAUUAAUUGCUGAUCAGGUAGCAGUUUCAUUGUUAUAGCUUAGAAGGGUGUUAAGAGAUCUGGAAGUGGGUGCUCAUGAAUUAUUACCCCAGACUAGGCUUUAUGCUCAACAGUCCUCAUACAGGUAAUGACUGGUGGCGGCUAAUUCAUUGAUCUGUCUCUCACUGCUGCAGACUUUGUUAGCUCAGCAGCCAAAUUGCUCUGCAUGGAGUGUUUAUCAGGGAAUCUGUGUCUGCAACCUCUCUCCCUGUUUUAAAAUAACAGCUAGCAAUGGCCUUCUAUUCACUUGCAAAUUCCUCAUUAGGUCUUUAGUAAGAGGUGUGGAGUGAAAACCCCUCCCCCAAUCCCCAUCCCUCCCACUCUGAGAACAGUGAAUUAAUUACAAUAAUGUUAUGAAUUACAUUAUCUAUCCUGGCAUAGCAAGCAGUGUUUUAAAACACAAUCUGUUGCACAUGGAUUGGGACCAGAUGGCUACAAAGAGCGCUGGAAAAAAAAAAAAAGUUUGGCUCAAAAUGCCGCAUUUGCAGCAAAGAUAUGGUACCUCUUUUGCUAUUUAUACCCAGAUGUGUCAAUUUUUAAAAUUAACUUCAGGAGUCGUCCCUGCCCCUGCCCCCAGCUCUAUUUGCUUGCAAUGGCAUUUGCUGUCUGAUGCUUCUUGUUACUUGUGGACCACUCCAGCUUUCCAUGAAGACAGUGGAACAUCCUAUAAUUACUUGGGAAGGAGGCAUCUCUAUCUUGUGAUUUUGUUGAUGGCUGUACUUGACUGGUGUUUUGAUGAACACAAGGAACAGAUUGUUUUCACUAAGCUGUGAUGGGGGGGCGGGUUCACUGCAAAAGAACAAAACCAAAACAAAACUGAGAGAUUUAAGACAGAACUACAGAAGUUUUCUUUACCAGAGUAGUUAUUCCUCAUAAAAUAUCAGUAGCAGUAGCAUUCUUUAGCAACCAAAAGUGCAUUGGACCAGCCUUAUGGUUCUGCAUGUGAGGAAGAGUACAUGUGGCCCUUGGAAAGGUACACACAGAAAUAAUAAUAAGGAGGAGUAUUGUUUUUGUUUGUAAUUAUGGUAUGCAACAACAACAACUGCCAAAUUAUAUCCAGUGUGUAACCAGUAUGGAGCUCUGCAAUUUAUCGUACUGGUAGGAACAGCUAUCCUUUGCAAUAGUAAUGUGAUUUUUCUGUGAGCUGAGCUUGGUGUGUUCCUUCCAUAUCAUCUUCCAAAAUAAGAUUUGCCUAUUCUAGUUUGAAAAUGAGACCCUUCCCCCCUCACCUCUCUUUGGGGAAGGGCCGGAGCUAAGUGGUAGAGCAAGGUCUUUGCAUGCAGAGGGUCCCUGGCUCAAUCCUAAAUAUCUACAUGUAAAGGCUAGGAGACACUCGUGCCUGAAACCUUGGAAAGUCACUACUAGUCACUGCAGAAGGAGCUAGGCUGACCAAAGGUCAGACUUAAAAUAAAGCAGCUGCUUCCUAUGUUCCUUUCAUAUUCUGUGCAAUUGAUGAGUUUGAAAGAGACAGAAAGGUAGCUUUAAAAAACAGGUGCUUAGAUGUAAGCAUGUAGAAUGCUAGUGAAGAGAGGUGUGCAAAAAACCCGAAAUAUCUAAAGCUGUGAGGAACAGUGCAAUAUUUCUAUGAGAGCAUGUAAAGCCAAAAGCACUAGAUGCAAAUACAGCAUAAGCAAUGCUAAGCAACCCUCACUAAGAGAGAAGCAGAUGACUCUGCCUUAGUCAUAUUUCUUGCAAGGGCAGCGAGCAAAAAUGCACAUCCUUGGAAGCCUAAGGCGGUAUGUUUGGGAUUUCCUCCCUCUUCCACUGGUGUAGGAAACAAUACUUUACAUGAGAGCAGAAUAGUCAUUUAGAUUCUACUUAAAAUCAUGGCUAGGUGCUCUUGGAUAUUUUCCAAGUAACAGACUGGCACAGUUCCCCAUCUGUCUAUUAUUUACAAAAUCUAAGGACCCCCUUUGCAUAAAAGAGAUGACUUUGGAAGGAGUAGGGAGGGAGGGUAAUAGCCAAACCCAGUGAAGCUGAAAUCAACCAUGAGGUUCUAACCCAGGGAACACCCAGGACUGAAGAGGAAGGAAGAGGGUUUCCUGGGAAAGAAAGAACUUUAUUGACCUUUAAAAACUAACCUAAACAGCCAGAGUUGGCUCUAUUGUCUGAGGGAGGCUUAAUCCAAUGGAAGCUGAGAGGGGGAAAUGAAAUAAAUAUCAGAGAACUAUAAUACAAACCACAAACACCACCCUCACCCAGUGUUGUAGUUUGUCCCCUGCUGAGAACAGACCCCCUAUUGUGGAAGGCACAUCAGAGACACAGCUUGUACCCAAAAGCUUAAAGCUGGAAUACAGUUGAUCCCAAUUAAUUCACAUUCUACCUGUAGCAAUGCAUCCCUAUUUGUUGGGUCCCUAGAUAAUUACUAGUAACUUCCUUAAAUUAUUAUGUUCCUCUCACUUUUUUAAAAAAAAAAAUCAGCUGUGAUGUUCAUUAGUGUGUGUGUGUUGUCUGCAUACAUUUUUAAAAAAUUACCCCUUUGAGGUAUAAAAUGAGGGAACAAUUUGAAACAAUGCGAGAGAUCUCAAAGGAACAAAGCAGCACAAAUAGUGGGUUAUUCAUGCAUGGUGGGCUAUUGAUUUUUGUAAAUGUUACAUGUGUGUACAGUGUGCCAAGGACCAUUUGUUUUAAGUAUCUUAAUUAUUCAGGUUUGCACAAGCAUUUAUCCUCUUCCCUUCUUCUCUUCUGAUUUGAUAUAACUGGGACAAUAUAGGACAUGAACAGGCCUGGUUCCUCAGCCUGAGCAGUUCUUCACUCAAGAAGCCAAUACAUACCUUUUUCAACAUCAUCUUCGAUGGACUGGUCAUGUUGUUUGGAUUCCUGAUUAUUGUCGUCUAAAGCAACUACUCCAUUCCCAAUUUAAGAACGGAAAGUGAAAUGCCAGUGGACAACAAAAGAAGCUCAAAUACGCUCUCAAGGCAAAUCUAAAAAAUUGCAGUAUAAGCAUGAACAAUUGGGAAACACUGGCCUGUGAGCGCUCCAAUUGGAGAAUAGCCUCUACCAAAAGGUGUCAUGGACUUUAAGAAGCACGAACUCAGGAUGAAAGGGAGAAACAUGCUAAAAGGAGGGACAUUUGGCAAAUCCUCACCGUGAUCACCUCCUACCCAGAAACCUAUGUCCCCACUGAUCCAGAACUGGCCUCCACAGUCACGGACACACUGUUAAGACCGUAUUCAUGGAAGACAAUCUUACUUGGCUAUGAGUGACCGCCAUAUCUUUUUGUCUGCUUCAGAACUUGCAUUGGCUUGUCUUUUGACAACUUUGCUACAGCCCUUUUUGGUUUUUGUCUGCUGGCUGUAGAACCUCACUUCUGGCCCAUGCUGCUUGCCUCUGGCUCUUCGGCUUCUUAGUUGCUACUUUCAGAUGACCUGUGCCAGACUUGGACCACAGCAUUUUCUUCUGACCCUGCUGGGCUCUGACACUGUCCACUAGCAAAUGUGUAUUUAUUUGCACAUCUGCACUACACACAUAAAACCUGUGCACACGUAGGCUGUUACACAUGGUUAGAUGUUUUGCAGGGUCUCUGACUGUGCCUGGAGCCCCGAUUCAUAGUUUGCACACAUGUAGGCAAGCUGCAGAUGUGUAAAUUUUCACUCCUGAGAUGGGAUGUGUGGCUUGCUGCUGUGAUCCUACUCCCCACUCCCUGCAGACAUGAAGACCCAGGCUUAUACAGUGGUACCUCAGGUUAAGAACUUAAUUCAUUCUGGAGGUCUGUUCUUAACCUGAAACUGUUCUUAACCUGAAGCACCACUUUAGCUAAUGGGGCCUCCCGCUGCCGCUGUGCCGCCGCUGCACAAUUUCUGUUUUCAUCCUGAAGCAAAGUUCUUAACCCGAAGUAAUAUUUCUGGGUUAGUGGAGUCUGUAACCUGAAACGUAUGUAACCUGAAGCGUAUGUAACCCGAGGUACCACUGUAAUCUGACUUUUGCAGAUAGUUGUCGACGUUUCCCUUUUUUAAAGGGAAAUUCCCUUAUUCCGAAUAGGAUUCCUCGCAAGAAAAGGGAAAAGUUGACAGCUAUGCUUUUGCAUGUCUUUUACAUAAUUUUACAUCUUUUACAUUACUUGAUUAGGAAAUCUGUAUUAAGUCAUCCUGAGAACUCCUGUCGAGACUGUAUAACACUGAGGAGGGGGCCUUUUCAGUAGUGGUGUACUGGCUAUAGAAUAUCCUCCCCCCCCCACAAGUCUGGUUCACGCCAACACCUUUAUUAUUUGGCUGACAGGUCAAGGCUUUUCUUUAUUCCUUGAGUGACUGGUGGCUGCUAUGUUUCUUCUGAUUUUAUACUGCUUUUUGUUUAUCACUGCUGUCAGAACGGUUUUGUUUUGAUUUUUUUUUAAAAAAUAACAUUUUAUGAGAAAUGUUUAUUGUAUCACUUUUUUUUUAAAAGUAAGACUGGCAUGUACAUACAGUAUUUCAAAUAAAUAGCCCUGCUGGAUUAAAAGCAAAAUGCCAGUGACUUAAUUGGGAUGAUAGCUUUCCUUAGUCACUCUGUGCUGAGGCUCCUGCUCUUUAAGACUCUAUUGUUCAACAACAGAUUGUGCUAAGAAUAAUAUUUAUUUGUGCUGAGCUAAGUGUUCACAUUGCUCACUAACCUCACUUGUUUUUCUAAGCAAACUCAUUCGUUCACAUGACCCUCUUAGUACACCAAGCUUUGAAACUCUUGAAAACCAGUCUUCUGAUAAUGCUUACAUUACUCCUGGUUUUACCAUUCUUAUUCUUAUUCUUCUUUGGCGAUCACUCAUAGCCAAGUAAGAUUGUCUUUCAUAAACACGGUUUUAACAAUGAGUCCAUAAGUGACUGUGGAGGCCAAUUCUGGAUCCACACGUCCUUCCACAGUGGGGACAUUUGUUUCCGGGUGGGAGUUGAUCACGGUGUGGACAGUCUUUAAACCUCUUUUGUUGACCACCAGCACUAUGCUUUCCAUUUUUAAGUUCGGAAUAGAGUAAGGUAGUUGCUUUGGAAGACGAUCAUCAGGCAUCUGCACAACAUGACCAGUCUAACGAAGUUGAUGUUGAAGAAUCAUUGCUUCAACACUGGUGAUCUUUGCUUCUUCCAGUACACUGAUAUUAGUUCGCCUGUCUUCCCAAGUGAUGUGUAAAAAUUUUCAGAGACACCGUUGAUGGAAUCUUUCAAGGAGUUGGAGAUGGCGUUUAUAAGUAGUCCAUGUUUCACAAGCAUAUAGUAAGGUUGGUAGUACAAUAGCUUUGUAAACAAUCAUUUUGGUUUCCCUGGGAAUGUCCCGGUCCUCAAACACUCUGCACUUCAAUCGGGAGAAAGCCGCACUCGCAGAGCUCAGACGAUGCUGGAUUUCGGCAUCAAUGUUGGCCCUUGUGGAAAGAUAACUGUCUAGGUAGGAAAGUGAUCAACAUUUUCCAACGUUACACCACUGAGUUGGAUUUCUGGCACUGCAGAGUGGUUAUUUUGUACUUGUUGCAGCACUUUUGUUUUUUGGAUGUUGAGUGAUAGGCCAAGCUUUUUGUAAGCUUCUGCAAAGAUAUUUAGGAUGGUUUGGAGGUCAUCCUCUGAGCGUGCGCACACUACGUUGUCAUCAGCAUACUGAAGCUCUAUGACGGAAGUUAUGGUAACCUUACUCUUUGCUUUCAGCCUGCUCAGAUUGAAGAGCUUUCCAUCUGUUUGAUAUAUGAUUUCUACUCCGGUGGGGAGUUUCCCUUCGAUAAAGUGUAGGAUCAUGGCAAUGAAAAUAAUGAAUACCUUUACCAUUGUAACAUACUAGAUCUUUCUGCUUAUUUUCAAAAACAAAAAAACUUUUCAUUAAGACCUACGGACAAGUUGCAAAGCAGGAAGGGAUCUUUCAAGUUCACCAGAACUCUUCUUUAGAAUCCUGGUGAACUUGAAAGCUUGCUCACACCUUUUGCUUAGCUGGUCCUAAUAAAGGUAUUGUGCAGUUUGGUUCCGCCCCCUCCCCCCAUGGACCAGUUUUGCUGCCUCCUUUUUUAUUGUACCAUUUUCAAAAAACACCGCUUGGUGAUCCAAAAAGUGUACUUGUGGUAAAAUUAUUACAUGAGCACCAUUUCACAGAUUCAACUGGAAUAUGGUGGCAAGACAGAUCACAGUCUGGAUGCAUCUAAAGUAAUUCCAAUGGACCACCCAAUUUAAUUGUGCACAGCCAGUUCUCUUGUGCAAGGUGAGAGAAAGGAACAGACUGCUGCAUCUCUCUGAUCUUUCUCUCAUCUUUUUCCCCCACCAAGAUCACUUCCAGUGUUAGGGAAGCACUAUCUCUGAGCUGUGAAGUGCUGAAAUUAGUGCUUCAUUUCAACUAAAAGAAUAUUGAUUUGCAUAUUACUAUUAUCACUACUAACUUACAUAUCUCUGAUAACUCUGAUGCGUAUGUCCAUCCUGCUCACCAUGGUCAUCCAAGGGCCAUUGAACUGAGCGGAUAUGGUAGGGCAAAUGGGAAUGUACAUAUUGAGACUUUAUUAUGUCCAACUAGUUAACCAUGGCUAGAGCUGGAUCAGGGUCCAUGUAAGAAUCUCAAAAGCUGGUAUUGAUGGUGGAGGGCUUUUGGCUGUCCCAUGUUCACCUCAAAGAACAAUAGUUAUAAUAUUCUUUCAGCUGGGAAUGGCAGCAUUUUUCUUUACUAUUUUUAUUUGUUUCAUAGUUUCCCUACCUUUUAUCCUAGUAUCUUAGGGGUAUGCGAAGGCUUCCCUUCCCCCGCUUGCCCGUUUCGUCUUCACAACAACACUGUAAGUAAGGCUGAGAGAUGGUGAAAGGCCAAAGAUCACCCAAUGAGCUUCUUUAUCUUUAUCCCAGGGUGGGCAGACUUCAGACUUGCAGGUUUUACCCCAAGAUCCAUUAACUGAAGCCAGGUGCAAAAUAGUGUCUGGGGGGGAGAGGCAUAGAAUUAAAGAACGUGGUAUAUCUGAGCACAUGAUCAGUUCAGGAAUUUGUUUUCAGGUCCAGAACGGAGUUUCUAAUCUUGUCACACGAAAAGUUUCAGCGAUAUAGCAUGCAUGCCUAUGACAUAAGUCACUCAAAACCCUAUCACUCAAAAUCCUAAUCAUUUUCAUCCUCCCAAAUCAAUCAUAAUAAUCAAUGAUAAUGCUAAAAAGUGGGGGUAAACAACCGAUCACUGCAUAAAUAGCUGGCUCUUCUUCCUCUCCCAAAGUCCUCCUUUUUCGUUCCUCAGGUUUCUGUCACCAUCUGUAUGUGGUUAGCUGGAGAAUGUCUAUUUUAUCAUUUAGUUACCUUUUUGAAUUGUAAGGGCCUGUUGUUUGAUGUGCCUUCACUUUAAUGUAAAGCACACCAUUACUAGGUUAAUGAUCAUGAGCUGUCAUCGCAGUCACUUUGAAAACGUGGCAGUGAUGAAUGGAGCCAGCAGCUCUGAGGGAGGUUGAUCACUGAAGGCACAGUGAAGUUUAUUUAAGCUGGGCUUGAUAAUGGGCCUGUAUUUGAGAUGGGGUGUUUCUAGUCACUCUUGGAAGAGGAGACAUUCCCUGGCAUGACAUAUCCCCCACCGCCACUGCCCCCACCGCCCACUUUCUCUCACACAAACAUUAUGGAAAAGAUUGGUCUGUAUUCUGAAAUCUGUUCUUCUAAUUGGCUGGCCCAGAGUAGUACAGUUGUGCAUUUUAGAGAAGGGUAGCUGUAUGAAGCAGCAAUGCUUUUGACUUACAGUUUGGGAGGUAAGAACAUCAGAAAAAUCCUGCUAGGUUAGACCAAAGGCUCAGCUUAGUCCAGCAUUCUCUUCUCACACUUCUCUUCUCACAGCCAGCUUCUUAUCCUGAGGCUAUGACUGCAACAGUACAGUGGUACCUCGGGUUACAGACGCUUCAGGUUACAGACGCUUCAGGUUACAGACUCCACUAACCCAGAAAUAGUACCUUGGGUUAAGAACUUUGCUUCAGGAUGAGAACAGAAAUCGUGCUCCGGCGGCGCGGCAGCAGCAGGAGGCCCCAUUAGCUAAAGUGGUGCUUCAGAUUAAGAACAGUUUCAGGUUAAGAACGGACCUCCAGAACGAAUUAAGUUCUUAACCCAAGGUACCACUGUACUCUCCUCUUCCUGUUCCCCAGCAACUGGUGUUUUCAGGCAUAUUGGAGGUAAUGUGUAGCCCUCCCUUGGUACUACAGUCACAGAACUCUUUAUACAUAUAUCUUGUUUGAUAUCAACAGGAUUCACAAACCACUUAGCCUCAAUGAAAUUGUUACAUGUGGAACAAUGACCAAAUCUAAAGUUACCUCUAAUGGGCUUUACUACAUUCCUAGGUAAAUUUGCACUCCAGAUGUUCUCUGGUGGAUCAUGCACCCACUUGGACGAAAGGCAAUUUGUUUCUUCUCUCUCGCACAGCUCAGUACCAAUGUAAUGUUAUGAACAUACAUGGGCUUAGCCUGGAUUUAUGUUGGGGUGGAAGCAGGAGACCUACCUGCCUUCAUCCUCUGUUUGGCUCAGGCUAGCAGAUCUGGAAUGAAACGACUCAACAGCAGUUGUUUUAAAUUUCCGGUACUUUCUUUUGACCCCAUGUGCUCAGAAAAAUCUGACAAAAUGUUUCUACAAUUUCUACAUUUAUUUAAGUAUUUUUAUUCAUUUACUUGAUUUGGGUGGGGCAGCUUCCUCCCCCCCCCCCGCCUAUGCAGGGCUAUGACCCUGGCUAUGCCCUUGUGAACAUAAUACAUGUUUUUCUUUUCUUUAUUUAAAUAUUAACUAUUACCACAAAGCCAUUUUCGUACAGGAAGUUCUGUUUAUAUCGGGGUGGGGAGCCAUUUUCAGCCCAGUGGCCACAGAUCCUUCUGUGGGACACAUGUCAGAGGUGGACAUUGCCAGAAGCAAAAGUGGGAGGAGCAGCAAAUACAGUUUUUAUCUUGGUGCAGUUGGCUAGUUUGAACGCACACUCACACAGCCCUCUCCCUCCUCCCGCCAGACAACCAAGAAGCAUUAUCAUAGCUCAAGGACACAUUCCAGCCAGGCAAAAACUCUCGGGGUGUGAAGUAGGGCUUGUGAGAGGUACGACUGGGGAACAGAGUGAAAGGCCUGCGGAAGGCCUGAUAGAGAUGUGUGUAGGCUUAGGUGAUAACUCCCUGGGGCCCUGGGGUGCCCAAGCACCCACAAAAUUCCCAGUGAAGGAGCCAGGCACUCACAAAUUUUGGUGCCAGGGCCAUGCACGCUGCAUGGCACCCAUGGCUCUGGGCACCCACAGUCACGGAGCCAUAUGGCCCAUUGGUCUCAGGUUCUCUAUCCGUGGUUUAUAUGUUUAAAUUGCUUAAUGAGACUCAUCCCAUGUAUCUUCACAGGAAGAAAAUGUGCAAAUGAACAAUCAUUUAUCUAGCACCCAUUCAUUUUGUUUUUAUAUACAGUGGUACCUCGGUUUUCGAACGUAAUCCGUUCCAGAAGGCCGUUCAAGUUCUGUAACGUUUGAAAACCAAAAAUUCAAUAGUCGAUGGCUAGGCCUCAGGAUCUUGCACUCAGCGGAAGCAGCAUGGCAUGUUCAACUUCUGAGGCAUGUUCGAAAACCAAAGCAUUUACUUCCAGGUUUACGGCGUUCAAAAACUGAAAUGUUCAUCGAUGGAGAUGUUCUAAAACUCAGGUACCACUGUAUAUGAAAACAAAAAGAAUGGGUGCUAGAUAAAUGAAUGUUCAUUCUUGGUCCAAUUUUUUUGAGGGGAAUGCUGGAGAAAUAGGUGGGGUUGUUUUUUAUUUAAGUUAAAAAACUAGAACAGUUAAAGAGACAUCACAUGACCUCUUUAUUGGGUGACCAUCUUCUGUUGAUAUAAGAGCAUCACUUCAACUGCGGUAUUCACUUAGCAUGUCAGGAAGCCAGGCACUGCCACCGAGUUUUGUGUAGAGGAUGCAUGUUUAAUUUAUAGAGUGAGAGAGAAAGAGACUGCUAAUCAGAGGCAGAGAGAUAACAGUAUGGCAGUGAGAGGGGGGUGUAAGCUGGAAGGCCUUUGGGGUCUUUCGCCGUCUGUGGAAACUUUGUGUCACCGCCAGUCCGCUUGAAUCUCAAGGAUGGGAGUAGAAACUAAAAAUUGCUUUUGUCAUUCAGCUGGCGGCAGGCACUUAAGUUGUGACUGGCAAGUGGUCGCAGUGGGAAUUGGGAGUUUACAGACUGGGAAUGCUGAUGUUUUAGGGUUCAGAGCACCAAGGAACCAAGAUAAACAAAUUGGCCGGUGAGAGUGACUUGUGUUAGGUCAGCCUAAGGGUCACUAAAAGGUCAAGCUGCCUCAGAUCUGGAUAUUUUGGUUGUCUGUUUACCCACCGGGCAAAGGCAAGAGAUGCUGUGAAAAACUCUGAUCCUCAGAUUCAUGGUUGUAGAAGCAGUCUGGUGAGUGGGGGGGAGGGAUAAAAUAAUCUUGGAGAGAUCUUGUUGUCAGCAAGCGCAAAAAGGCCCAUAGUCCAUUAGAGACUCUUACAGCAUGAACUAUGAUAGGCAAGUGCCUCUUUUAUCACAUGCGUGGUGAGAAAGCAGAAGGUUUAGGUACCCACAGCUGAAAGAUACUAUAACAGGACUUGAAACACACACAAACAUUUUGACAAGAAAAGUGCUAAAUAUGAGCAGAGCAGCAGCAUCUACUCAUUUGCUGGAGUAUCCCAAAAUUAUGGUUGAAAUAAACCAAGCACUUCAAAGGAAUAAUAUCCAAGUGUCAUUGUACAGUGGUACCUUGGGUUAUAUAUGCAGGCAUAGAAUAUAUAUAUUAGUUUAAUAUUUCACACAAUAUGCUGUCAAAGCAUGCAAACAAAAACCAGUUGGAACAGCAAUAGACAAACAAAUUAAAGAAAAUAAAAUAGAAAUUCAGACAUGCAAAAUGGGGUCCAAUCUUUUGGGUCAGAGAAAGUCCUGUUAAGGGUGCUCAGAACAGUAGCUCUUUGAGGGUUGAACUACAGUGUCCAGGAUUCUUUGAGGUAAGCCAUAUGUUUUCGAUGUAUUGUGUGUAUGCAGCAUUGGUAUACUAUCAUUCCAUAAUUUUCUAGCUGAAGUUCCCUGGACGACUCUAGUAAGCCAGUAGAGUUUUUGCUUCUGUGUUCCUCAGAGAUUAACUCCUUUACACAAGUCACAGUGCAGGCAGCAUAAGGGGUCUUUCCCUUAGAGUAGUUUACAAAGUAUCUGCAAACAUUUAGAUAUAUAAAGUUACAGCUGUCAGUUUUUUUGUCUCCUUAGUGAAACUUUUCUCUGAAAGUUACUUACCAGAGGACAAUGUUGACCAGACAAAUAAAUUUCACAGAAGUUGAAGCCUCCCUCCCACUUCUUUCUGGCACCAUGAAAGGUGUGAUACCAUUUAUUUGGAACAACUUGAAUAUAAUUUCCAUCACAGUGGUACCUCAGAUUACAUACGCUUCAGGUUACAGACUCCGCUAACCCAGAAAUAGUACCUUGGGUUAAGAACUUUGCUUCAGGAUGAGAACAGAAAUCGUGCCCCGGCAGCGCGGUGGCAGCAGGAGGCCCCAUUAGCUAAAGUGGUACUUCAGGUUAAGAACAGUUUCAGGUUAAGAACCAACCUCCGGAACGAAUUAAGUACUUAACCCGAGGUACUACUGUAUUUGAAGGCAGAGUUAGGAGAGCCUGGCGGAAUCUAGAUACAUAGAAACAAACACAGUGAAAAUGCUUUUUUUUUUUAAAAAAAAAGGUUUUGAAAAAAUAUUAAAUUUGCCAUAGUUCACCAUCACCAUCUAGUGUCACAAUUGUAUAAUGCACUUUACAACACACUUGAAAUGCGGGUGGCACUGUGGUCUAAACCACAGAGCCUAGGGCUUUCAGAUCAGAAGGUCGGCGGUUCGAAUCCCCGGAAUGGGGUGAGCUCCCGCUGUUCAGUCCCUGCUCCUGCCCACCUAGCAGUUCGAAAGCACAUCAAAGUGCAAGUAGAUAAACAGGUACCGCUCCGGCGGGAAGGUAAAUGCCGUUUCCGUGCGCUGCUCUGGUUCGCCAGAAGCGGCUUAGUCAUGCUGGCCACAUGACCCAGAAGCUGUCUGCGGACAAACGGCGGAUCCCUCGGCCAGUAAAGCGAGAUGAGCACCGCAACCCCAGAGUCAUCCAUGACUGGACUUAACGGUCAGGGGUACUGUUACCUUUACCUAGCUGAGUCCCCUGACUGGAAGAGUAGCAAGUUUGACUUCUGGUUCCAUCCACAACAGAAGCAGUUGAUUUUUUUACUUGUUCUGUGGAGAACUAGCUUUUUGUUGUUGUUGGUUGUGAUAUCUCUCUCUCCUGACACUGUUGACUGAGAGUUCCUUUUUGUAAGACACUUUUCCUCUCACAGAAUGAUACCUUGUCCCACAAAAACAAAGGAAUAUGGUGUGCUCCAAUAAGCUCUACCUCAGUUUCCAAAAGGUUAGCUGCUAUGGCAUAUGCAGAGGUCAGAAACCAUUUACAGUGGUACCUCGGGUUACAGACGCUUCAGGUUACAGACCUAACCCAGAAAUAGUACCUCGGGUUAAUAACUUUGCUUCAGGAUGAGAACAGAAUGGACCUCCAGAACGAAUUAAGUUCUUAACCCGAGUUAUCACUGUAUUGAGGCAUUCACACACCAGCUAGGCUGAAGAGUGUCCCAUGAAAGUGGAAUGAGGCAGUUUCCUAUGUUCCUUUGAAAGCAAGAGAGAAGAGAUUGAAAGAGGUCCAAAUGAGUUUUCUAAUACUUUUUAAAAAGGAGAUAGUUGGAGGACUUAAUCUCUGGAGAAGCGUUCUGAUAUUUAUGGCUAACAUAAAGGGGGGGGGGUCCAUAAAAAGCUUAUACUUCUGCCUAGCAUGAUUGCGAACAAAAAGGCCAGUAACAAUGUUUUGAUUUAUGGCUAUCAGAAACUGUGGCAGGAAGCUGCCUCCACCACAGUAACCCAAAACUCCACCUUAUGUCAACAAGCCAUUGAAACAGAAGGCUACAAGGCCUUUGCACGGCCUGGUAUUGUACACCCUAAGCAGCCCACGUUUUACGUAGAAAGGAAAACACUGUGACGGCUCUUUUCCGAUGGCAAGCAGAUUAGCCACCCCUCCGCUGUUUUCCCCCUUCACUUCUCUUUCAUUUCCACCAAUAACACAAAAAGGUUUUGUUAUAGCCUUCUGUUCGAGUUUACCUUCUUUUUCUUCCUUUCUUUUUUGCUUCACUGCCGCCUUUCUGAGCUGAGAUGUGGGCAGACUUGCUGAAUUUUUAAUAGUGUGGUUAAGAAAAUGUUGACCCUUUUGGAGUUGAUGGAUGGUUUUAUUAUUUAAACAUAGUUUCUGUCUUCCUUUGUAAUUUCAGCACUGGGAAAUACAAUGGAAGGAACUGGCACUAAAAAUUAAGUAGGGAAUCAAAGUACAUUGGUACCUCGGGUUAAGAACUUAAUUUGUUCUGUAGGUCUGUUCUUAACCUGAAACUGUUCUUAACCUGAAGCACCACUUUAGCUAAUGGGGCCUCCUGCUGCCACCAGUCCACCGGAGUACGAUUUCUGUUCUCAUCCUGAAGCAAAGUUCUUAACCCGAGGUACUAUUUCUGGGUUGGUGGAGUCUGUAGCCUGAAGUGUAUGUAACCUGAAGCGUAUGUAACCCGGGGUACCACUGUACUGAAUUUCAGUAACAUGCUGAUAUGGGCCUUGUUUGGGCCAGUAUUAUUACUCUGAAACUUUGGUUAGAGAAAACAAGUAGUCUUUCCCCAUCUUGCUGCAACUCUUUGGAGGCUGGAUCUGCCUUCUCCUCAGCAGCACGCCCCAAUGCCACCUCUACAGUGGCCUCUUGGUGAAUAGGAGGCACUGCCCGUCUCCUCCCACCCUCGUUCCCAAUGUAUAUAUUUAUUCCUCCCUUGUUCCUAAUGUAGAUUUUCACUCAUCCCUUCUUCGCUGGCAGGGAGGAGAUGCCAUUUUGUCAUUUGCCUCUGGUGCCAAAAUGUCUUUGGCCAGCUCUUAAUCAUGUGCUUCUGAUUCAAUCAGUAGGCAAUAUUACAAAACUGAAGUGGAACAGACUCUUUGCUAUUGUCACAUGAGAAAUGUCAUAAAACACCCUAUCAGUUGCAGAACAAGGUUUUAAUUUAAAAUGAAGCGAAGACAUGAUUUCCCCCCCUAAAUAAUGUUUUGGAAACACUUUUAACACGCUUCCUGUCUUACACUGAAUAGAGCAGAACGUCCUAUAUUUAUAAAAAAAAUGCUGCGUCAGUUGGAUGCUUGGUAACUGUAAGGUCAAAAACCAAGCACAGUUUUAGGUUUCAAUACAAAGCAAGAAAUCCCCAAAUCCCUGCAACGGGGUGAGCUCCUGUUGCUCGGUCCCAGCUCCUGCCAACCUAGCAGUUCAAAAGCACGCCAAAAAAAAAAGUAAAAGUAGAUAAAUAGGUACCGCUCUGGUGGGAAGGUAAAUGGGGUUUCCAUGCACUGCUCUGGUUUUGGUGUUCCAUUUGCGCCAGAAGCGGCUUAGUCAUGCUGGCCACAUGACCCGGAAAAACUGUCUGCAGACAAACGCCGGCUCCCUUGGCCUGUAAAGAGAGAUGAGCGCCGCAACCCCAGAGACGUCUGCAACUGGACUUAACUGUCAGGGGUCCUUUACCUUUUUAAGAAAUAUGUUUGUAUACAUUAACUAAAAUUUAUCUCCAUUUUAAUUACAAGAGUGCUAGAAGUUGUGUUGAUCUCUCAAAAGGAAAAACAGGGGCCAAGAUGAACACUGCUGACUGAUAUCCGUGUGUUUAUGACUGUAUGUUAUGUGUGCUUAAUUAUGUGUUGGAUUGUGGAGAAGGUCAUUCUAGCAGGAAAACGCUUUGAGUAUCAAGUGCCGUAAUUUCGUGCGUGUGAAGUGUGUCAUGCAUGUGAAGUGUGUCUACAAGGCCAAAUGACAGACCAAAUGGUCAAUACAGGUAUCACUUGGCUUCAGGGUGGUGAGUACCGGCUCCCUACUUUAUUGUUGUUCUUGAUGUUUUUAAAAAAUCAAACUUUGAUGUGGACUGUUGAUUUCUUUUGGGAGGGAAACUGCUGAAUCAGCUAAGCAAAGCAGCUUCAAGGCUACUUGAAUAUCACUACUUCUCUAGAUCUCUGCCAGCCUGGCUUUUAUCAUACUGGGACAGAGCUUGUGGCUUGCAUAAGCCAAGAUGGUGUAGCAGUUAGGAUGUCAAAGUAAGACAGGUUUGAACCCCCAUUUGGCCAUGAAGUUCAUUCUUUCUCAACCUAACCUUCAUUACAGAAUUGUUGUGAGAGCAAAAUGGAGGCAGAACUCUGUCUAGACUUCUUGGAGGAAAGAUAAGACCCAAAUGUAAAAAUAAAAAUAAAAAUCAGAAUAUCUUUCUAUCAAAAUAGAAGUAGGAUGAAUUAGAUCCUUCUGAUCAUGUUAAUUCUGUAAACUUUAAUACUCUUGACCAGCAGAUAUUGGCCACAUGGCUGCCGGCAUUCCCAAUAUCUCUUCAGCAUGAGUAAAAUAUUGACAGGGGAAAUGAUGGAGAAAUGCCAAUAUUGCCUCCCACUCACCAGUUCGUCCUGUGUAUCUAUUCUGUCUCUCCCACUGUUUCAAUUGAAUAUGGGUUCACUGGCUGAAACCACAGAGACAUGGAAUCUGAUGCCAUUUACUCUGUAUCUUUUCACCUGGCCCAGGUCUAAGAGCUCAAUGCUUACUCCAUAUCUCCAGCUGUAGCAUUUUGAUAUAUCACACUACUGUACAAGGUGCUAGAGCUACUAUACAUGGGGCUGUUUUAAUGUAUCCUAUGGUGAGCAGAAGGUAGAAAACACAGUGCCUACUAUCCUGACAGGUGGAUUGGUCACUGGAAGCAUAGUUGGUCAGUGUCUGCCCUGACUUCUGGUGGGCAUUCAAUGCACUAUUUUUUACCUGCAAAGUCUUAAAUGGUUUGAAUCCAUUGACCCUCAUACCUGCUUACAUUGUGUUUGUCUGCAGUCUCCAUUAUAUCACCUGAUAGGAUCACCUUGAGUAGCCAAUUUUUGUGACAUGUUAGUGUGGGAGUGGGGAAUCUUUGACCUUCAGAUGUUACUGAAUUACAGUUCCCAUCAGCCCUAGCAAUCAUGACCAAUGACAAGGCAUGAUGGGACCUGAAGUUCAGCAACACCUGGAAGGUCAAAGGUUCACCACAACUGUGUUACAGUAGCAAGAGCAAGCAAAGAAACCGUCUUGGUGGUUGCUCCCAGGUCACAAACUCUCUUCUUCAUUAUGGUAUCAGCCAGGCAGACAGUAGUGCUUUUGGGUCAUGGUAAGGGAUAGCUUAGAAAUAGAUCUUAAAACAUGUGGGUCAUUUGUGUGUAUGUGUAUACACACACACACUUAUAUAAAAACUGGUACAUUGCUUUUAUAAGGCUAGGACAAGUCAAGUCUUCAGCAUCUGCUGAUAGGCGGUUGGGGUCAUAAAUCUAAAAUGAAUAAAUAAGAGCCCCAGGCUGCUUCAUGUGUUUGCACAUAGCUCUUAAUUUCAGUCUCUGUGUCCUUGAUUCAGCUGCAGAACAAAGGUGCAAGCAGUUCAUAUAACUUUGAGGUAAAUGGCAAGUUUCCCACUGGUUCUAAUGGGACGGGAUUGCAUUCCUCAUAUUCUAACAAGUAGGCAUCUAUUAUGACUAAAACAGAAGGCUGCAAAUUGAGUCACUUUGUGUCUUCUGCAAGGAUGUGAGCCAAAAUGAGCCAGAAGACCUUGAUGCUUGUGACAUCAUGGAUAAGAAAGUGGGGAAAGCAGCAGAUGUCUGACCUUGCCUAUCUUGUUUCUACUUUUUUGCUGCUGCUGCAGCGAAUAACAUCUUCCCAAGGUUUCAACACUAAAAACAAGGAAAUGGCAAGAACCACUAAUGCACUUAGAAGUAAAAAAAUCAUUGAGGCAGUUACAGUAGCAGAAUUUCUCACCCACCUUCUUAUUUAAAUUAUAUUGCAAAAUUCCACUGAUAGCUUAAUAAUGUGUAAUCAACUCAUUAAUGUGUACAUAAUUCAUAUUUUAUAUAUACUGUUUUUGCUAAAUAUACAUCAGUAUUGAUACAUAUUAUAUACACAUCAACACCAGCCAAUACACACCCUGGUUGAUACAAAAAACUACUGUAAAAACAAACUAUGCCAUCUGUAAAAAGCCUCAGGCGGAACAUGUCAUAAAACAACAUGUAAUACCAGCAAUGGUUAGAAAGCACCCAAGUGAGUUUACAGCAGGGAAGUUUAAAAAUAGCUGGAGGUGAAAUGUAGAGAAAGAACAACAGCUAUGAAAUUAUAGGUAAUACUUAGUUCAACAGUUACUUUGGAUUCAAUUGGUCAACCAUUACAUACAGAGAAUCAUUUUAAAUCUUACUGCAUGGAUAGACUAUUCUCCUUCUGUUGUUGUUUAGUCGUUUAGUCGUGUCUGACUCUUCGUGACCCCAUGGACCAGAGCACGCCAGGCACUUCUGUCUUCCACUGCCUCCCACAGUUUGGUCAAACUCAUUCUCCUUCUAGCUGGACAUAUAUCUGACAUCAGGAAUCACAAGACAGAGAAUCCAGUAGGAGAACAAUUCAGUCUCCCAGGGCAGUCUAUACAAGAUCUCAAAGUAGCUGUCUUAUUACAAAAGAAUUUCAGUAAUAGACAGGAAAGAGAAGUUGCUGAAUUGCAACUUAUUACCAAACUUAAAACCAUGGAGACCCCUGGUCUGAAUAGAGACAUUGGAUUCUUAUCUACACGAUAAAGCUAUUUUUAGCCACUUCACCCCUUGCUUUUUCCUGUAAGACCAAUUGCAGUCGUUAACAGUCGUCAACAGGUUUACCACACCUAUCAGGCAAUCACCCAUUCCCACCACCCUUCUGAGUAAUACCCCUCCUCACCCUCUCAUUAUAUACAAGGGUCUGGUGAGUUCUGUUUCAGUGUAUCUGAAGAAGUGUGCAUGCACAUGAAAGCUCAUACCAAUAACUAACUUCAUUGGUCUCUAAUGUGCUACUGAAAGGAUACCCGCCCCCCCAUCUAGGUAGUAAGUUUUUUCAUGAUCAGCUGGCACUGCAUAAUUUCCUAACAGAACAAACAGCAGAUUACGAUGAAUGAUUUUGCCUCAUCUCCAUAGGCAAUGCCACCACCCACCUUGUUGACCAGGUACAUGGCCUUAAUAUUUAUGUUUAAACCCCCACCAUCCUUGAUCCAAAUAUUAUUUGAGCUGUCUUGCAAGUCCUGUUAUUGGGACAGGAAAGGAGGAACAGAAACAUUUGACUAAAUUAAUAUUUAGUCCAUUGCCAAAUCGUUUUGCUUCUCCCUAUGCAAUGUUCUAAACUUCUGACGCUUCCUCUGCAUGUCUCCUUAGCUAAAAUUCUCUUCUGUCUUCCGGGUGUCUGUGCCCCACCUUGACUUUCUCUCAGUUGCGCUGUUUUGCCCAGGUUUUGCUUGCGCACUUCUCAUAGCCAUCUGGCUGGCCAUUGUAAGAACAAGAUGCUGAAGCAGAUGGACCUUUGGCCUGAUCCAACCAGGAUUUUAUUAUGUUCCACUCUCCUAUAAAAGAUACCUGCUAUAAAAGAUACCUCUGCCGCAUUCCCCUUUGCUGCACCCCCCACCCCGGAGACAUCCAUCUCUAUAUCUCCCUUCAGAUCUUUUUUCAAGCUCACUUUUCCCACAAAUUUGUUUAAGGCAGAAUAUUAUUAUUAUUAUUAUUCCCCGUCCAUCUGCCUGGGUUUCCCUAGCCGCUCUGGGAGGCUUAAAGGUAAAGGGACCCCUGACCAUUAUGUCCAGUCGUGGCUGACUCUGCGGUUGCGGCACUCAUCUCGCUUUAUUGGCCGAGAGAGCCGGCAUACAGCUUCCAGGUCAUGUGGCCAGCAUGACUAAGCCGCUUCUGGCGAACCAGAGCAGCGCACGGAAACACCGUUUACCUUCCUGCCAGAGUGGUACCUAUUUAUCUACUUGCACUUUGAGGUGCUUUCGAACUGCUAGGUUGGCAGGAGCAGGGACUGAGCAACGGGAGCUCACCCGUUAAACCACAGAGCCUAGGACUUGUCGAUCAGAAGGUCGGCGGUUCGAAUCCCCGCGAUGGAGUGAGCACCGCAACCCCAGAGUCGGCCACGACUGGACCUAAUGGUUAGGGGUCCCUUUACCUUUAGGAGAUGGAUAGUUGCUCUAGUGGGGGGCAUGCCAUGCGCCUUCUGGGGUACUUUGUCCACCUCAGCUCUCACCUGUGGCUCCUGGAAUGACUGCUACUGGCUGGCUAAUCCAGGUGAGGUUAGCUGAUGGGUCUCAAACCCUUGGUGAUUUAGAGACUUCCCCUGCAUGCAAAGACAGGCUUCGGCUGAUUGAAUGGACAAGAUAAAUAGUGGGUCCAACAGUCAAGAAGGCAGUUUCUGCAUGCGCUGUAGAGGAAAGUGAGAGGUGGAUGGGUCUCAUCAACCUGGGAAAGCAGCCCUUCUAGAAGAAGGAAAAAACUGAUCUUAAACCUUUGCUGCCUUGCGGGACAUCUUUUGGAGAAGAGAAGGCUAAGGAGUAAACCCUACACAAAUCUGGAGUGGCUGGAUGGUGGCUUGUUAGCCUCCUUCUGGCGGUUCCUGCAGCCAAGCUGGUGCCAAAUGUAUUGCACUGCUUUCCUUUGAACCACAUUAGUGAGACCAAGAGGGGGUCUCAUGUCUGGGCAGUGCAGGGGCCCCAUACACACUUCCCAGGCUUGUGCCCUGUGGAGGUCACGUUGGUCCUGCUGACACAGCAGUUUGACUUCUCCCCCAGAGAUGCGCUCCAUGGUCUCUUGAGACAGACAGAUGCCAACAACAACUUUCCAUCGCUUCCCCAGUGGCUGCUGUUUGUGCUGGGAAGAAAACUACCAUGAGACACUGCAGGGAAUACCUUGUCACAAACCCUGCCUUUAUUCACCAACAGGUAUAUAGCGCAGCCCAGUUUCCCUUCCAUAGUUUCAUUCUUAUCAGGAUGGUGCAUAUUUCAUUCACUGUGAAUGAAACUAUGGCACAGCUCCCAGCAUCUCUGCCUGCUGCCAAGGCUGAAGUUAAGAAACAAAGAUUUUAACACAUACACACACCCCGCCUCCAGCCCAGCAUUAAGGAUAAGGAGGGAAAUGUACUGAGAAGAAAAGUGGGUAGAAGAAGAAAAAUAGAAAAAUGGAAAUAGCUUUAAGCCCAGUUAAACAGCCAGAAAACUAGAUGGAGGGGAAAGGCUAACAUAGAACUAUACAGAUGCUUUGCCUGGCUCAGCUUGAGUUUCCUCACUCCUGUUACAAGAGCCAAGGACAAAAUGAACUGUAGGGGAUGUUCAUGUUCCUCACUUUUGGGUCAGAGUAUAUCCUCCGUCUUUGUCAAGCAGUCAGUCGCAUAACACUUGACCCUCUGGCUGACACUGUUCAUGCAGCUGCUUUGCUCAGUUCUGCAUUCAUAUUUCUCCUGUUAAGUUUGCUUUGCAAAGAAUAGAUGGAAUCUUGGAGGUAAAUUGGGAGGAUGGAAAAGAUGUGGAGCUCGAUCUACUUCUUGGUCGCCGUCGCUCCUCAUGCCUAAUGGUUUGGUUUUGUGUGCUGGCCACUCUGCUACAAAGAGCAGCCACAAAGUCCAUGCAAUGAUGAGUAAAAAUAUUGGGCUAAAAUGACAGUAAUCAGAACCGCAAAAUAUAUUAUGGAACGAACAGUGAAUGACACUGUUUGAUGCCUUUGUUACUGAUUCCAAUUAGCCGCUCUGAGACUUGACUUGUGGGUACAAACUCAUAGGUACAUCUAUCAGAGCAACCUCCGUAUAUGUACAGAAUUUGUUUUACAAUGCAAUUCUUGUUUAUUUAGUAUUUCCUGUGUGGCUGUGAAGCUUGUGCAACGGAUGUGUAAAACUGGCUGGUGUGGUGGCUUGGAAUGUUUGGUUGUUAAUGGGUAGGGCUGCCAUAUAUCCAGAAUUUCAUGGGUGUAGGCAGAACAUCUGUGGGUUGCCAUCUGAUUGGAUUUUAUUCGGAUCCUGAUCUGAUUUUAGGAUGUAUUUUAACUGAUUGCCUGAUUUUAUGUUAACGUGGUAGACAUCUGAUGUUAGCCGCUCUGAGCCCAGUUUUGGCCGGGGAGGGCGGGGUAUAAAUUACAAUUAUUAUUAUUAUUAUUAUUAUUAUUAUUAUUAUUAUUAGGGCAGUCGAAGCAGUGUCUGGGUGGAAAUCUCUUAAAUGUCUGAGAAAAUCCUGAUGAAUGUCAACCACUGUCAGCAGUCUAGAUUUGGGCGAAUUUCCUCAAGAACAUUUGUGUCCGGAUUUUCACUUUUUCAAAUAUGGCAACCCUACUAAUGGGACAAUGUUGCUUAUGGAGUAAACUAGCUUCUGUGAGGCAAAGGAACAUUGUCCAUUUUUCCGGGAUUAAAAACCUUGCACAGAAGAUGACUAGGGAUUAGAAAGAGAUUUUGGGAGGUAGAGAAACAGCCAAGACACCUUUUAGCAGCUUCUUGAUAUGCAUAAAUUUAACAAGCCAUCCUCAUCACUUUAUCUUAAUACCAAGGGAAAUCUUAUCUAUUGACAUUUUUUCCUUGCCAUACAACUUUCAAAGGCAGAGAAGGCCUUCUGGAACAAGAGGUGGCAAAACCACUUGUACUGUUUAUCAUCAUCAUCAUCAUCACCAUCAUACAUUUUGGUCACUUGAGCAUUGCCUCCUCUUGGCUCAGAAAUUAAACAAAUAGAAUCUCUUGUUUUCAGUAGUUUCACCUGCUCUCUAUUCUCCAGAAUUUCUAUCAGAAAAGUUAUGACCCUGAGGAAGACAGUGUUUGAGCAAACAGAGGUUCAAGGGUGGGAGGAGACCAGAAUGAAGUAAAGGUAUUUGGAGAUCAAUUUUGUUGCCUUUGCGUUUUACCUUGAAUAGUAGUCAGCCCCAAUGUGCUGAGAAAAUACUCGGACAAGGGCCUUUACUGCCCAUUAUUUGCUCAGCAAUAAUCUCUCUGCAUCAUAUGCCUGUGGGUGAGAACUCUACCUUAAAAAGCAAAUAAAAGGCCUCUGGACAGUGACCCUCAAAGGGCUGAGUUUGCUAAUGACAUUAAAGAUAGAUAUAGAGCAGGCUGAACAAUUUGAUGGGAGAGUGGACAAAAACCAUCUUGCAUGUUUGCUUCUUCUGUCCAGUAUUUCUUUAACACUAGAAAAAUGAUUAUUGUGAUGAUACAUUGGACAGUGGCAGCAGAAGAAUCUGAACAUUACAGGGUGGUACAGGGGUGGCCCAAGACAUUGUGGCACCUGUGCCAAAAUGGCAUCUCCCUGCCACUGCCAGGGAAGAAGGGAUGAGUGAAGAUCUACAUCAGGAACAAGGGGGGGGGAUAAAGAUUUACAUCAGGAACAAGGGUGUGAGGAAACCAGCACUUUAUUGGCUGAGGGAGCCGGCGUACAGCUUCCGGGUCAUGUGGCCAGCAUGACUAAACCGCUUCUGGCGAACCAGAGCAGUGCAUGGAAACGCUGUUUACCUUCCCGCCGGAGCGGUACCUAUUUAUCUACUUGCACUUUGACAUGCUUUCGAACUGCUAGGUUGGCAGGAGCAGGGACCAAGCAAUGGGAGCUCACCCUGUCGCGGGGAUUUGAACCGCUGUCCUUCUGAUCAGCAAGUCCUAGGCUCUGUGAUUUAACCCACAGCACCACCCGCGUCCCUUUAUAAGUAUAGUACUUUAUUAUUUUCCUAUAUGAGUGAAUGGGAGACCUUCGCUCUGAUGGGAGAAAGUCAAAUACAGCGUAUGGGGAUAUUGCUUAGUGGGCUGCAAGAGUACUUUGACAUGGAACCCACAGGCCACACACUGCCUUGUCACAUGGGGGGAGAGUGAAUCCAAAAUUUGAUGCCCCCCCCCCAGCCCUCACGCUGCCCUCCCAAAACCAAGUAAGCAAGGCACUGGGCUUUGGGAAGGAGGUAUGAGGGGUCUGAUAGGGUCCUAUAGCCUUCCACCUCCUUCUCAAAGUGCAGUUAGUGUUCUCUCAGCUUUCGGAAGAAGGUGGGAGCACUCUAGGACUCUGCCUCCUUCCCAAAGCCCAGCAUCUCACUUAACUGGCUUUGGGAAGGCAGCGCGAGGGUUGCAUGGGGGCCGUCAGAUGUUGCUGAGGGCCGCCAAACGAAGCCUCAAGGGCUGUGUGCUGAAUCGCCCUGGACUAGAUGACCCUUGGGGUCCCUUCCAGCUCUACAAUUCUAUGAUUCUGUGACAAUUGCCAUUUUUGCAGGUGCAACUUUACCAUCACUAUAAUUCCAGACCUGGGGAAAACUUCACCUGUUGAAUUUCUGCCUGUUGUGCAACUAUUGAUGACUUAUUUGAUUUAUUAGACUUGGAUAUUGCUUUGCAAUAAAGAAGUCUCAAAAGCAAUUUACAAUGAAUAUAAUUCAAUAGACAUAUGAUACAGAAACCCUACCCAGAAGAAGGGAAAAAUAUGAAACCAUCAUAUCCAAAGAAAUGAAACAAUUCUGUACUGUGUCUUUGGGUUUUCUGUGUGUGAAACAAUGUUUUAUUUUUGGGACUUCAAGGUAAGAUUUAAAAUAUUGUCAUAUUAUUAAAGAACUAUGGGUGCAUUAGGAUUUAGGAAUAGUCUGUCAUGUGACACUGAUGGAGGUGGGGGAAAUAGACGCAGAGCGAAUAUUUAGAUGGAGCAGCAGUGCAAACUUACCUUCAGUUCACUUUAAAAGCCUAGUAAAUCAUUACACUUUUUUAUUAUUUACCUGGUACAAAAUUCUCUAGUGGAGGAAGAGGGGGGCACACAAUCCUCCAAGGGCACAUUCUUUCUAUUUUUUUAGUGGCUUGCUCAGCAUUUUCCCUAAAACUUAGGGUUACCCAGUGAACAUGUUCCGUUAAUAUGUUCAUAAAUCAGAAAUUGUGGAAGGUUGAGUUUGGGUUGUAUGAUGAGGCUGUUUGUGAGGCUCAGUGCCAGGUGGGAAUUUUGAGAAGGAAGGCAAUUCUCGCACAGCUUGAGGAAGACAAAGGUUGCAUUUACACCUGGCCAGAAGGUUUAAUCAUCUACUAUUUCCAAACAUUGUAGGCUAACAAUCUGCUGUGUCUGAGAUCAUAAAAUAUAUCACAAAGUGGAGACAGAAGAAUUGGGACUCAGUUGACCAGAGGUUAUCUUUUCAGAGAUGUGAGCCAGUUGGGAAAUUCUUGACCACCUUAUUUAGGGGGGGAAACAAAAACCUGUAGAAGACCUUGCUUCAUCAUGUCAAAGAGAUGCUUGGAGCUUCAGGGAUUGUGGUUGGUUAUGUUACCUACAGGAUAAAGAAAGAUACCAAUAUACAUUUUUAGAAAGUGGAGAAAGAGAAAAAUACAUCUGCAUGAACAGAAUGUGAAUAAAAACACUUUAGGCUACAAUCCUACCCACUCUCCUCCAAAGUAAUUCUUAUUGUUUUCAGUGAUGCACACCCCUAAGUAAUGGUGUGUAUAGGAUUGCACGGUUAGCUGGUUAUUCCCCAAAUGGGAGCCUCUUUUAGGAUGUGUACACAAGGGAUCAAAUUUGUUUUUCUCAAUAUAUAUAAAAUGAGAAGAUAACCUAGUUCUGGUUUCCUGUAGAUUAUAUUUUUUCAAAAUCCCACCAGGACCUCUUAAGUUUUUUCUAUGGCAUGUAUAAUAUGCACUAGCUUCGCUGAACAUCCCUUGCACACAGUGAUUGUUUCCACCGAAUACAACUUGUGUUCCCUUGGGCAUGAUGUCCAGGAGUUCCCUAUCUGCAAAUGGGAGUGUAAAUAUAUUAAAGAUAAGAAGGUGUUUCAAUGCUUUCAGGCUGGAUUACAUGCCUAAGGGAGCUAGAUAGAUUUGAACAAGAUAAAAUAUCUGUUACUUGUGAUUUGCUUUUACACAGUUAGACGGUAUUUGCUGAGUUCCUUUCUGAACAGUUAACACAACCGUGAAUUUUGGCUCAUUUAUUCCACAGGAGCCACAUAUCUUUUUAACAGAAACACUAUUAGGACAUAUUUUUGCAGCACUCAGAUUGCCAUAGAUUGGUGCUAGGAAGUGGUGAGUCUUCUCCUAGCUCGCAGAGCUAAAGUUACUUGAGGUGCUGCCUUGAAUAUAGGGGAUGUGUGAGUUUUACAGAUGAUUCCCACACCCAAAUACUGCAAUAUUGUGGACAUUCCUGAAUGCUUUGAAUUUAUUACCUGGAUGUUCUGUAUUGGGGAUGGGGGAACAUGACCCUGUUUGGAUUCUCCUUGACCUCUCAUCAGCUUUUGAGACCAUUGGCCAUGGUAACCUUCUAGACCGCUAAAAAGAGAUGGACAAUGGGAACACCAUAUUGAUUUGAUCCUGCUCCUAUCUCCUGGGGCAGUUGCAGAGAAUAGCACUGAGUGACUUUGCUCAGUCCUGUGGGAAUUAACCUACAGGAUCAGUUUUGUCACCCAGGCUGUUUAACAUCUAUCAGAAGCUGUCAUUAGAGGUUUCGGGAGCAGGGUACCAAGUUCGUUCCCUUGAGGCCAAGGUGGCAGUGCUAGAAAAGGUAAGAGAGAGAGAGAGAGAGGUAGAUGAAACCUUGAGGAACGUUGUUGCUGUGUCCCAUUCCCACACUGACAGCUCCCCUGCUGUUGGGAAGAAUGAGGGUCUUGGGGAAGGUGAGUGUCACCUUGAGGAAGAGAGAAACAUUCCCUUAGAAGGGACCCAUUCCUUGGUGGACAAAUAUCUAUCCUCUUGUGCCAGGGAUACUUAUCCAGUUGGUGGAGGGAUGAUGAAAGUGGAGGGUCCCUGUAUUGUAGAAUUUACAAGGAUGAAGGAGGAAUGUGUGAGCCUACAGAUUUUGAUAGACCACAACUCCCAUCAUCCUAGCAUUGGCCAUGCUGGCUGGGUCUGAUGGGAGUUGGGCUUAUACACCUGCAGGACCACAGUUUCCUCAUUCUUGCUGGAACUCUAUACUCCCACCCUCAAAUAUCUCAGGAAACCCAACUUUUGAAAUUGAAGAAUGAAUCCUAGUAAACUUUUGUUAGCCUUUUGUUAGAAGAGAACAUUGCUUUACUUGCUGCAGUUAUGUAUCAUUACCCUCAGAACAUUUACUGGAUCAGCAGAAACACCCCCCACCCCCGAUAGGUAACUUUUGAAAUAUUUUGUCUUAAAGCUGCAGAGUACUGAUGAAGGCCCCUGACCUGUAAAUCAACUGCAAUUUCUUUAACAAAUUAUAUCAGUGGAGCCUCACCAGGUUAAUUUUCUGCACUCUUUCAUUAUUUGGUUUUCAGCCUUCGAGCUGAUUUCAGGAGACCCUGCUGGAACUUAGCAUUCUGAGGGAGAAGCCUGAUUUCAGGAAGGACCAAUCAAUAGUACGGUUUUCAAACAACAGGAGAACCACAAAGUAGUAGCUAUGUAAAACUAGUUCUAGGAAUCCAAGGGGUAGGUGACCUGAGGCCCAGCACCAGCAAUCUGGGUCUUGGGCCAUUCUCUAACAGCAUCCCUGUCACUGAGGUAAAUUUCCCCUUGAGUAGGGGUAGCGAGCCUGCUGCCAACAAGAUGACAGACUCCAGCUCCCCUCAGCCCCAGCAGCUUCCUAUUACUGAAAGUAUUCCUGUUUGCUCAAUAUGUUAGUCGUUGCCCUGUGAUGGAAUUCAGGUCUUCAGACCUUCUUUUGGGUAGGUGCCUUAAAACUCAUCUAGGCUGUGCUAAGAGACCUGUAGCUCAGGAAAGAGCAAGGGCAAGAUUAUGUUUCACCAAACACUUAUGUUCUUCCUCUCUACAGGACCUUGCAUCUGCAUCAUGGAGCUGCUGGUCCACAGUGGGCUCUAUCACAGGCAGGGGCGGAGGAAGGACGGUGCAGUGGGUGCAGGCCACCCCGGGUGUCACCAGUGAGGGUGGUGACAAAAUGCCAGGUGGCACUCACUGCAGGGCCUGCAGCGUGCCCGAGCCACACAUCUCUUCUGGGAGAGACGCAGUGGCUUGGGCACAUGCAGACUCCGCGCUGCCCAAACAGUCCGCCUGCUGCCUCCCCCCCAGCUGUAGGGCAGUUGAGUGGGAGGAGGCAGGCAGACUCUAGAGGCCUCGCAGUGUGCCCUGCCCAUAUGAACGAUUCACCCCGCCCUCGCCCUGCCCCUAUGGGUGGCUUGAACCGCCCCUGGGCGCGCUGCCCCAGGUGUCUGAGCGGCUUCCUCCACUGCUGAUCACAGGACCUGAAUUCUAUACAGUUCAGACUUCUAAUAUUUCCAAAAUAUUGUUAUCAGGGCUUUUUUUCAGCCAGAACACGUUGGAACUCAGUUCUGGCACCUCUCAGGUAGGCACCGUGCUAUUCUAAGAGAACGAGGGAGGCAUUUGUGGUGAGUUCUAGAAAAAUAGCACUGAUUGUUAUCAGAGAAAAAUGUUUCAGCAAUUUUAUAUAUUUGUAAACUGAUGAUUCUGGCUCAUUUUAUGCUGCUCCAGAUGGUUUCAGUCUUCAUGAGGUUAAUCACACGUUAAUAUUCCAAGGACUUAAUUUCUAAACAAUUGAUCUCAAGUGUUUCCAGCAUAUCCCCCUUCUUCUUACAGCAAUUUUAUUUACAGAAUGGCUAUUCCAGCAUGUAUUGGAUUUUACACCCUCUUCGAUUUUUCAUGUUACAGGGUGUCCACCACCACCGCUGGUAAAAUAGGAAUCUUGGCAAAUACAGAACUAUACAACCAAGGUUCCUGUGGGCUAUACUUGAUGGCAAUGAUUGUCAUCCAUGCAUAACUCCCCUGUUAUAAACCAGUUUGUUUUAUUGCAAGUAGCCUUUUAUGCUCCAUAGUCACCUUAUGGUAUACGCUUAGGUGUGAAACAAGUUUUCAGAAACUUCCUCUGAUGUACAGUAUUUGCGUUCAAGCACUUUUAUGAUUAUGUUCUCCACCUUGAUGAGAACAAUUUUCGAGUCACGUCUUCCUACACCUUCAGUUUUACAGUCUCUGAGAAACUGUUUCGCUGUGGUAUCGAGGAAAUGAACCGAAUGUUGUGAGGGCACUGGGAGUUCACAUGUUAGAGUACAAAGUUUUACAAGAGCAACAUUGUGCAAAGGCAGACAGAUAAACCUGCAGAGCCAGUUCUAACCAUCACUAUGUUGGAAGCACCUAUGGUGCUUUCCUUUACGCUUUUCAUUAAGAAAAAUAGAGAUAAAGAACUCAUUCAAAAUCACCCGUGUGUUUACUUGGAAGUUAGCUUGCCUGGGAUUACAUCCAGAACCAGUCAUAUAUUAAUAAAGGGAAUCUGAGCAAAAUGAGAUAACUUAGAGAGCAUCGACAUGUUUGCCUUACUUCAGCAUUAGCCAAGUAUUCUCAUUAGAGUCACAAAACAGGUUGACAUGAUCCCAUAUCCCUCAAAGUAAGUCCUAUUUCUGAGAGGGGCUGACUCCCAAGUAAAGGAGUACAGUGGUACCUUGGGUUAGAGAUGCUUCAGGUUACAGACGCUUCAGAUUACAGACUCCACUAACCCAGAAAUAGUACCUGGGGUUAAGAACUUUGCUUCAGGAUGAGAACAGAAAUCGUGCUCCGGCGGCACGGCAGUAGCAGGAGGCCCCAUUAGCUAAAGUGGUACCUCAGGUUAAGAACAGUUUCAGGUUAAAAACAGACCUCUGGAACGAAUUAAGUUCUUAACCCGAGGUACCACUGUAUUGGAUGGUUGCAGCCGAAAGCUCUGUUGUAUAUAGCGGGCCUUUCCAAAUUGUAAAGCAAAGGCUAUUUUUGCCUUAACAAUGUAUUCACACUGGUGCUUAUCUAGUACAGUAGCAAUAAUGUCAUUAUAAAUGGUCACAAAGUGAUACAAGCAUUUUUGGGCCCAUUUUUGAGCCCAUACCAGUUGGGGCCAGGUUGUUGGAAUGACCACCUGCACCAGUAUAAGCCUAUGGCCUAUGAAAUUCCCUCCCUCCCUCCCUAUACAGGUAUGUGGGGGACCUACAUUGAUGAUUUUUAAAUAAGACUUGAAUACCUUUUUAUUCCAAACUACUCUGAAUAUAUAUUUACGUUUAGAAUUUUUCAGCUGCUGGUGGUUUUUGAAUCUGUUAUUUUUGCUGUGCGUUUAAAUAUUUGUACUGCUUUGUUUUGCUAUUUUUUUUAAAUCUCUUGCUGUGACCAUUCCCCACCUCAGUGCGCUAGUGUGCCUUAGAAUAUGCAUACAGCUCUGGUUUUAUAAUUUGAUGCUCUAAACAGUGUGUUUCAGCACUCUGGGAGCUGCAUUGAGACGGUAACCAUGAAAUACACCUCAUAUUAAUAAAUAGCAUACCUUCCAGGUGCACUGGAAAAAAAUGGCACAUCCAAUUUUUUUCCUGCAAGAUCCCAGUGGCCAUUUGGGUGCUGCGAUCUUGAGCACUUUUGCACUGCGCUCUUGCUCUGAAAAAUCACUUUUUUGGGGGGGGUGAGAGCAAUGAGUCAUGUGGCUCACCUGGGAGCCUGUCCCGGAGGAUGUGCAUCCCAGAUUUGCAUUGGGAAAAGUUGGACAGUAUGAAAUAAUGAGAAGCAUUUGAAAACAGACGACUAUGGCACUGGUGCUGUCAAUGCAAUAGCUGCCUUUGAUACUCAUAUAAGCAUGAACUGCUUAGCAAUAGCUUCUACUCCAGAGCUAUGGGGCAGGGAAAUAUUUUAUGACCAACAAAAAUAAUUAUUAAUUUUCUCAGUAACAAAAUGGAAAUCCAGCUAAAUGGGCAGGGUAUAAAUAAAUUAUUAUUAUUAUUAUUAUUAUUAUUAUUAUUAUUAUUAUUAUUAAAAUCUGCCUAGGAAAAUAAAGCCACACAAUUACUUCCUUGAGGAAAGCGGUUUGAAUCCUCUUAGGACCAGACCAAGACAUUUUGCUGCCUGAGAUGAAGCAGAGCCCAAGCUAUUCUCUGUACAGAAGCUAGCUGGACUAGUAGUUGAAUCUUAUUUCAACACUGGCAACAAGACACUGUUCUCGGCUGCCCACGGUAAUGCACAGCCAGCUGUGGGACAGAGACAGCUCUGCUCCAACACGUCACUGCAACUACCUGCCCCUCAGCAUCCGCAGCCUGAGGCUGCCACCUCCUUCUGCUUAAUGGUAGGGCUGGCCCCAGAACCUUUCCCCUACUCCCCAACAAAUAACAUAGCAAUUAUUUGCAUUUAUUGCAUGGAAAACCAAGAGUGUACUAUUAAAAGAUUUUUAAAAUACAAAGGUGAAACUGCUGGAACAAAGAACACGUAUCAGACACACUUGCCCCAUUAAGGAUUAUCCGGCCUGUCACUCUGGUGCCAACAUUCUCUGAAAUCCCAGCAACAAGAGGCAGCUAUAUCUUACCUAAUGUGAUUUUACUGCUUUGAAUCCCUGCCCAGAUCCUCGCGGCAUUCCAUACUACCACAUCAUCACAAGGGAAUGAACUUUAUCUUGAAAAUGUUAAGAGUGUUUGUUUUAAAGAUGAUUUACCACACUUGACAGUGACUAGAUUUCCUAAAUUAAGGCUGAGCUAUUGUCACUAUUAUGCAUCUCACAUUAUGCAGAGAAAUACCUAGGCCCUAAACCAGUAAAUCUUUCAGGAUGGUUCAAGUUGCUCAUAAAACAAGCAGCAGGGCCAAGACUUCUAAAUUGGAUUUCUGCUGGUCUGGAUGUCAGCAUAGAGUUGAACGCCACCUGAUUGAGGGGGUGAGGAAAACAGAACUGGCGCCCGGCCGGUUGAGACCUCGGCACAUCUCUGGCCUUAGAAAUUAUCUGGCUUUCUGUCUCUUAUUUAGUCUGCUGGAAGAAGAAAUGCGUAGCUGACAAAUCCCGCUCGAAAACUGAAACAAAGCCAGUCGUGAAGAUUCCUCUUUGAACCUUUCUGCUAAUUUUUCAGCGUGUCCAUUGGAGCUGUAUUUUAAAGGGGGGGGGGGAAGACAUAUGACAAUCUUGAGUUGAAAAACUGCCUAGCUAUAACAUACUUUAAGUCAGCAAAGAUGAAAUGCUAUGUGAUCUUCCAAUGAUAUGCAAAUUAUUCUAGCAUAUCAGUUCCUCGAUUUGAGUCGCUGCAGAGACGCGUGUAGCUUUCAGAGAUUAGAGAUUUGAACACACAUACAGAGUUCCAUUUAAUAAGAUCUGCAGAGAAAUUGAUUAAGGAUAAGGGCCUGUCCAUCCCUCAACUUAAUGUGGAUUGUGAAUCUGUUCUGCCUCCUUUAAUUACCGUAAUUUCCACUCUUCCAUGCUGCGUUCUCCUCCAACUACUCUUCCCUCCCUAAAUCUGAAGAUUCCCUAUGCUCUGAAAAUCCAAACACAUAAACUACACUGAUUGCAUAGGCAAUCUCUAGAUUGAGGGAGGAGAAAGUGUGGGAUAGUAGUAGCUGGUGAAGAAAGCUGAAUGGACAAGCAGAGACUAAAGGAGGCAUAAGGGAUUCACAACCCACAUAAACCAAGGUAUGGAUGGGCCCUAGAUUCAAGAUUUGAAAAGGGACCAGAUAAGGUUGUUGUUCCAAAUUGUUUAACAUUGCUUAGGUGAUAAAAAGGUGAGAGAAAACUUUCAAAAUAUUGACAUGGGAAUGAAUGUAUUUGUUCUAUUGUCAAAAAGAAAGCUAUUAAUCUGGUGAUUUUUGCAGUAUUUAAAUGGUUGGUUUUAUUAAUAAAUUUAAUAAUAAAACGUUUAAUAAUAAAAGUUCACUUUUCUUUUCUUUUUUUAAAAAAAAAUGUAAGCUCCUUUGCAGGCUGAGGUUCUUUCUAGACAGGGUUCAAAAUUUAAGAACGACACCCAAAUGCCCUUUUCAACAACAGCCAACCAGCAUCAACUGCAUAUUAAUCAAUAUUAAAAUGGUUAACAAAGGAGAGCACCUUCACCCCAGUGUGGCUCCCCUUUACCACAUGUACAGCACAACAAGACAAUGACCUAUUCCCCCCAGUUGCAAAUGAAUCAAUAUAGCUAAGCUGACCCAACAACUGCCCCCUCUCACCCUCACACAUACAAACAAACCACACUGCAACCAACCGAACCAAACUCUGGACCCCCCCAAUUGCUUACAGUGCCAAAAAACCCCUAAAUAAAUAUAUAAAUAACGAACCUACCCACGUGAUGCUGGCACAAAACCCCUGCACAAACACAAUGCAAUAGAACACUUUCCCCUAACCACCUAAUGUCUAUGACAACAGUGUCUCAUACCAAAUGUAAACAAACUGUGAAAAAGACUCUAUGAAUUGAAAGUGGAGACGCUAUAUGUACUUUUCUUUGUUUAUUUGUUUGUUACACAAGUAAAUCUUUAAUAAAAACUAUUUUUUUAAAAAAAAAAACAACUCCAUUUAAAUGGAUAAUAAAUUAGAGGAAUCUGUUAGGGUAGGAUAUUAAGAUGUUAGCCAGACAUAAUGAAUAGAUGGCUUGUUUUUCUGGUGGCGGAGGAGGGUGGGAGGGGGAAGCAUAUAAAGUGUCUUAUCUUAAAUUUGGACUUCCUUAUUAUGGCAACAUUACCAUUAUAUUAUUCUUUUGGAUGUGCAAAGAUUCUUUCCUGUAGGACUUGGCUGCCUUUACAAAAUUCAAAAAGAAGCACAUCAAAAGUUAUAGUAGGUGACAAAUGUUAAUAUUUGUCGAAGGCUCCUGCUUUGAUCCUUCAUUUCUGUUUCUUAAGAGCUUGACAAAUGCGGCCUGUGGUUUGGCUUCAAACAUACUCCGUCUCCCAAGUGCUUUGCUCAGUGUCUUCAUCCCUCUGACCCUCCACAGCAGUUCAGGGCAGAGGGGGCCGGUUGACAGAAGACCUCCAAAAAGUGGAGAAUCAUAGCUAAAGAACAAAGAUUAUUCCGUUGUUGCUGUUGUGAAGAUUUUGGUUUGUUUGUUCUGAGUUUCUGAGUAGUUUUUGCAGUCUGUUUUGUAGUCUAUUACAGUGGUACCUCAGGUUUAGUUCUUAAUUCGUUCCGGAGGUCCGUUCUUAACCUGAAACUGUUCUGAAUCUGAAGCACCACUUUAGCUAAUGGGGGCCUCCUGCUGCUGCCGCGCCGCCGGAGCCUGAUUUCUGUUCUUAUCCUGAAGCAAAGUUCUUAACCUGAAGCACUAUUUCUGGGUUAUCAGAGUAUGUAACCUGAAGCGUAUGUAACCUGAAGCGUAUGUAACCCGAGGUACCACUGUAUUGCAUUUAAAUUCUGCUACCUUACUAUCAUGUGGUCAGGGAAUACAGUCAUUAUAGCUUUUCACCCAUACUCUUCACUAUAUUUGUUUGUUAAAGGUGCUGGGAAUUGUAGCUCUGUGAAUGGUAAACUACAGCUCCCAAGAUUCUUCAUGCUUCAAAACAUUCAGAAACCAAGGUGCGCUUCCGAUUGGCUGCAGGAAGCUUCUGCAGCCAACCAGGAGCCGCAGAACCCACGUCGGACGUUCGGGUUCCAAAGAAUGUUCGCAAACCGGAAUACUCACUUCUGGGUUUGCGGCAUUCGGGAGCCCAAACAUUUGAGUUGCAAGGCAUUCAACUUCCGAGGUAUGACUCUAAUGGGAAAAAUUAAUGAAAUCCACAUCUUACUGAAAUCAGCAAUCAAAACUCCAGGCACCUUUCAAGAAUAGCUUGACAUAUGCUUACCAGUCUGUUUCCUAGCAUCAUAUUGAGCCAAAUUCUAAAGUCCUUGUCAUAUCUGUGAGACUGGAAUCCCUUUAUGGACUACAGCAUGGGUAGACAAACUAAGGCCUGGGGGUCGGAUAUGGCCCAAUCGCCUUCUAAAUCCGGCUCGCGGACAGUCCAGGAAUCAGCGUGUUUUUACAUGAGUAGAAUGUGUGGUUUUUUUUUAAAAAAUGCAUCUCUGGGUUAUUUGUGGAGCAUAGGAAUUUGUUCUUUUUCUCCCCCCCCAAAAAAAAAUAUAGUCUGGCCCCUCACAAGGUCUGAGGGACAGUGAAUUGGCCCCCUGCUGAACAAGUUUGCUGACCCCUGGACUACAGCAAAGUGUAAUGGCAUACCUCUGACAUUUUCAGACACAGUACACUCAUUUCAGUGGUAAGCCUGGGUUAGGUAUUUUUGUGCUCGUCCAUGUUUAAAGCAUGUAAAGUAACAGAAAGUGAUCUAUUUGCUAAAUCAAAAGGAAAAUAAUGCAUGAUAAAAAGAUACUGUAGAUAGUCAGAAGUCAUAAUAAUCCAUUUUACCUGCAUGACCUCAAUUUGCCAGUACAUUAUUGCAUCCUAACCCCAACAAUUUGAAAGCACCCUCUGUUAAAAACGGAACUAUCAAAGAAACCAAUAUAGGUGUUGAUAAUAUAUUAUCUGCCAGUAUUUUAAUUUUCUUGUAUGAGCGUGGAAAAAUAAGAGCAAGCUGGCAAGAACCAUACUUUUAAGCUGCAGUUACUCAUAUCUUGUUUAAUAGAUAUGUAUGAUCUAAUCAAAGUCAGAAAGCUUAAAGUCCCAUUGAAUUUAAUAGAAGGAACUUUUGUACGAUCUUAUAUAUGUCAACUCAGAAAUGUUCCCGGGUAAAUUUCUGUAUAGGAUCAUAAUUUUGCUUACUUUUCUGACUCAAAUAAAUGAAAACUGAAAGUGCUUAACUCUGGUUGGUUAUAGCUCUCUGUGUUUUUUAAUUGUUAUGGAAAAAAAUAACAGACAUGAGGCAAGAUAAAUUUCAACUAUAAAUGGAAAUUAUUAUUUUUUAUAAUGGGAUGAUGAAGGUUUGGAUUCUUAAACUGGUGAGAAAUUUGUGUGGUUUUAAAUUUUUAAAAGAAUUGGCACCCUCCCUCCUCCAAAUUCAGAAUAUAUUUAUAUCAAAUCAAAUGGUUUUAUUUAUAUAUGACUGUUCUGCAAACAUAUGGUUGUAUAUCUUUUCCUUCUUUUAGAAUAUGAUUUCUUGGGGCAGGGGUUAAUUCUGUGCUGUGAAUAAGAAAUCCUCAAAAUUUUCAUUCCUCUCAGCAAUGAAUACAUUAGCAUUAAGAUUCCAGGAAUGAGGAAAAACAAGAUGGUUUAGAGGGAGGUUACUUGUGUAAAUAUUUGAUAUCCACAAAGAGCUCUCCUGUGCUUGGACACCCUUUUCUGUUCACUGUUUUGUUUUAAGAAAAACGUGUGUGUGAUUUAUUUUGCCCUUGGUCCAUGCACUUGAAUCUUUUGACUUCUUACUUCUUACCUUCUAAUACUUGAGGUGGUAUUCAACACCAGUCCUACUCAGAGUAGACCCAUUGAAGUUAAUGCACUUGACUAACUUAGGUUCAUUAAUUUCAGUUGGUCUGCUCUGUGCAGGACCAGAAUUGAAUACCACCCUUGACCAUUUGCUAGUUAAUAUGCACGUUACAAAAUAUGCCAUUUACCUAUACCUCCAUUCUGCUUCUGAAACUUUCCUUUUGCCUGUAAAAUAAACAUCGGGCCCCAAUCUAGCUAAAGGUAGUCACUUUGGGUGACAUUCAAUGUUAGUCAUAGAGUAAACCCAUAUAAAAUAAAUUAUGACUUAGUCGGAUAUCACUCUAUAAAUCCAACUCAAAGAAAUAGGACUGAAAUUAGUCUUACAACUAACUUCCACUUUCAGUGAGAAUUGUUUAGCUGGACUUGAGCCUAGGAAUUUAGCAACUUUAUUUAUUUAUAUUUUUGUUUCAUAAAAUUUAUACACCACUUCUACAAGAUGUAUAAGCAGAAGGGAGGGAGUUUGAAAGUGUAGGUGCUGUCACACUAAAAUAUCAAUUCCUUACCAAUGUGGAAUGGGUAUUAUGUGGUGUCUAUAACAGUGCCAGUUCUGCGGAUCUCAGUGGUCAGGCUCAAAGGUAAGCUAGUCCCAAGUUGUUAAGGGCCUUAUAUGCUAACAGGAAUACCUUGAACCUCUCCGGUUGCAAAUCAGCAACCAGUGCAGAUCUCUGGACACAGGUGCUGCGUGCUGAUAAGGUCUCAUUCCUGUCAGCAAUUGUGCUGCAGCGUUCUGCACUAACCGCAACUUCUGGAUCAAGUGCAAGGGAAAGAACUCCCCAAUAACGGUGUAUCUGUGUAUCUUAUGCACAGUUUCGUUACCCUGGCUUCCUUGUAUGCGGUUUUUUGCUUUUUCUUUUUUUCUUGGGAGGUAAGGUAAAGGACCCCUAGACGGUUAUGUCCAGUCAAAGGCGACUAUGGGGAAUUCAUUGCUGAUCGGCAUAACCUUCCUAUCUGUUUGUGACCUUGAGUGUCUAUAUGCAAAUGCUGAAGGUGAAAACUGGGGGGAAAGGUAGAGUGGGAAAAUGCUGAGAAGAAGGUGGGGAGAUUCAAAACGCCCUGCUCCUGGGCUAGGGCAGACACUGAGGCACCUUCAAAAGAGAAGGAACACAUUCCCUCCUCAGCCGCGCCCCCACCCAGCUUGUUCGAUACCCUCCUCAAGGGCUUUGACCUGGCUGGAAUGUGUUCUUGAAGGGUCAGAUAUUGCCUCUAAACUAGGGAUGACUAAGCUGUGGCCCUUCAGAUGUGGCUGGAUAUACAUUCUGUUUGUGAAUAUUCAAAUAAGGUUCCAGUUGCGACUUGCGCAAUGAACAGAUAGCUGUUGUGAAGUUUUCUUUUGAGAAUGGUUUAAACUAGUGGGAUCGUGCAAAAUGUGUAAUUCCGUGCCCUUGUGGAAUAAACGCAAUCCUUUUGCCACUGAAAUCGAUGACAAUACUCCGCAGGGCUGGACUGCACCAAUUGACAUUAAUCAUCAACCUCUCCUCCUGAAGAGUUCUAUAGAAGCUAAGGGAGAGAGGGGUCGUGGUUCUUUCUGCUUGUCCUCUCUGCUAUGAUGUUUAUCUUCUUUCUUGAAAAGGAUUAGAGGUUCAGGUUCUAUUGUUCUUCUUCUAAGAUUACUGGAGUGGGCACUUGAGUCAUCCCUGUAGUCACCUUUUAUGUCAUUGUUUGUGUGAGCCCAAAUGAAAAUGUGGUUUGCUCAGUGGUAACUGUUAAGCUGGCUAUGCUUCAGAAGAAUUAGAGGAGUCUGCCAUCUAGUCUUCUAAUUUGCUGCUUCGUUAACAUCCACCUUUUCUCUUCCGGCUACUUUCCCAGUGGAUCUCCUUUCCCAUUGCAAAUAGAGCAGCAGCAGCAGCCAUGAAGUGGCACUGGUCUCUCUCCAGGUCCAGCUUCCCGCUGCAGAAAAUCCAGAACAAGAGCACUCCAAGCAGAUGGUUGUCCAGCCUUCACUUUAAGACCUCCAGCAAUGGAGAGCCCACCAUCCCUCUAAGUCAGGGCUAGGGAACUUUUGGCCCUCCAAUGUUGCUGGAAUCCAGUUCCCAGCAUGGCCAAUAAUUAGGAAUGAUGGGAGUUGUACUCCAGCAACUUCUGAUACAUAAGUGGUUCCAUUGUCAAAUUCAUGUUACCAUCAAUAUAUUUUUCAAUUGAAAUCUACCAUUCUGUAACUUAAGCCCCUUCUAUCUAGUCCUGUCCUCUAGAGCGGUGGAAAACAACAUUCUGUCUUCUAUGUAACAGCCCUCCAGGCCACAUGUGAAGAGUGCUAUCAUGUCCUCAGUCUUAUUUUCUCCAUGCUAAACACUAUCCAGUUACAGUGGUACCUCGGGUUACAUACGCUUCAGGUUACAGACUCCACUAACGCAGAAAUAGUACCUCGGGUUAAGAACUUUGCUUCAGGAUGAGAACAGAAAUCAUGCUCCGGUGGCACGGUGGCAGCAGGAGGUCCCAUUAGCUAAAGUGGUGCUUCAGGUUAAGAACAGUUUCAGGAUAAGAACGGACCUCCGGAACGAAUUAAGUACUUAACCCGAGGUACCACUGUACUUUUAACCUUCGUCAUAGGACUUAACUGCCCGACCACUGACCAUCUUUGUUGUCCUCCUCUGGCCCUGUUCAGUGGUACCUCGGUUUAAGAACAGUCUGGUUUAAGAACAAUUUGGUUGACAAACUCCACAAAACUAGAAAUAGUGUCCCAGUUUGAGAACUUUACCUUGGUCUAAGAACGUAAUCUGAAAGGUGGAAGGGCACUGGCGGCGGGAGGCCUCAUUAGGGAAAGCACACCUCGGUUUAAGAACGGAUUUCCGGAACGGAUUAAGUUCGUAAACCGAGGUACCACUGUGCUCUUCUUAAAGUGUGGUGCCCAGAACUGGACACAGUACUCCAGACAAGGUCUAGACCAUCAGCAGGUGCCCUACUAUGCCAUCUGGCACCAUCUGCAACUAGUAGAUGCAACCUAAGAAGUCGGAGAGUCCUGGAGUAUAGAGAGUCAUGUAGUAACUGUGUUGCUGCUGUUCUUUUAUGCCGCCAGUAUAUAAACCUUAACAGUACUUUGUCCUUACCACUUCUAAAUCUCCUAUUUUGGUUAACCUUCCCUAUCUAUAUGCCAGAAUGACACUAUGCCAAUGGAGAUGAGAGGGGAUUCUGGAGCACUGCAGGAAUGCGAUGCCUACUCGAGAAAUUACAUAAAAGUACUGAACUUUGUUGUAUGCUUGCGCUAAUACCUUAAAAUACAGUACAAUCCAGUACAUGUUUCAUUGAAAAUUCACCCUUCUGUUUAUUUGCUUAUUUAUUUUACUAUGAUCUUUUGUUGCUUUCCUUGCUUUGAUCCAAAUAUUUUCCUGGGCUUCCGGUGAUAAUUGAUUUUGCUUCUCCGUUAAUUUGUUCUGUAGAGCUGUUGUGGUUUUUGUUUAGCUUGAAGCUGUUGCUGUUCAUUGCUCUGCUUGAGGGCUGCCGAAAUCCCCUUGUUUUAUGGGUUUUAUGAAGUUUGCUGGGUGCCCUCGGACCAGUCACUGCCUCUCCACCUUACCUACCUUACACGGUUGUUGUGUGGAUAAAAGGGUGAAUGGGUAGGAAGAAAGACAAAUGCUGUGUUUUGCUCCUUUGGAGGAAAAGCAGCAUACAAAUGAAAUAAAUAAUAAGAGCACACGGUCCCCCCUCGCUUCCUAAAUGCCUUUUGCAUAAAUGGAUAAGUUUCCUGUCUGGUGAGGUAAUUUCAUUUGCACAUUAUGCUUCAUGGGAUAUCCUUUAUUUACCCAAUGCUUUCCUGUCCACUCUUUUCAAGCUAUGUAUCUUGCAUAUUUUAUAUACACAAAGGUGACUUUUCCUUCCUUUAAUGACCGCGGCUUAUCAGUGCAGGCAACUGAUACUGGACUCAUAAAUAUGUCACUCUCCCUGUUUAAUUCAUGGUCCCCCUCCUUUGGAAGAGGACUCCUUUACUGUCUCCCUCACCCCCUGCUCGCUGAGCCCCCCACCCUCCCCGUCCACUUGCAUCUUCCUCAAAUCUCCAGAACUCUCCAUUGGUUGAUAUAAAUAAAUCACCCGUGUAAACUAUCAGCCGAAGUCAUUGUAGCCCAGAGUACACAGGGAAUAUAAAUACAAGGUCAGUGGAGCCAGCGCCUUCCGAUUCUAAUUAAAUAUUUCCUGUAAGUCGGUGCCAAGUGUGCAUCUUGUAAGAACAUUUGGAGGCAGGAGUUUGAACUCCCAAGGACCCUGUUGCCUUAAAACCUGUUUCCUGCUUAACAACAUUUAACAAGGAGAGCCAAACAUGCGCCAUCAGCAACAAAAGUCAUUGUAAGCAGUCCCAAUGUGCAAAGGUGCUUGGUUUCCUCUCUGCAAUAUUAAUGUGUGCCUUACCCAGCCGGUCUUUCUGUCAUGUGGGAGUUUGUUUGCAUGACUCAGUCUCCCUUUCCCCCACUAGAACAGGUUUCUCACGGGUCAUUCUUUGCUUGGACCUCGUUUUCAAUGUAGCAUGGAAGAACAGCUCAGUAGUAGAGCAUUUGUUGUUCAUGCGAAAUGUCCCAGGAAUCUCCAGGUAGCAUUGGGAAAGAGCCCUGCCUGAAACUCUGGAGAAUUGCUGUCAGUCAGUGUAGAAAAUAGUGAGAUCAGUGGUCUGACUCAGCAGUUCCUACAUGCCUAAUAUGGACUAAGAAUGGCUACAAGGUUCUUGGACAAAUGACUACAUCUUACAUGCCUGGCCAAUGCAAGGAAAAUUCAAAUACUGUUUUACAUAACACAUUUACACAGUCCACACAUAUAGUUAAUUUCAACAGGUGUUGUGGCUUGCUUACUCAGUUUCUGUAUAAGUGUGGGUAACGCAACAGGCGUAUUAGGGGUAUAUACAGCUCAGUGUCAGGGCUCUAAACACAGGCCUGCAUCAGGGUUUCUGUUGACAUAAGGAAGAGUAGGGAGCUUGCUACGAGGCUGUCCUAGUAGCCUAAAUACAGUACAUUUAAGACCCUUCAAGGAAUUCCUGCUCAAAAUGAGCCGCCUUCUGAUGUAAUGUGGGUAGCUAUAAGAAAUUAAGCCCUACUCAGCUGUUGCCCUCUCCCUAUUGAACUCACCCCUUUGUUGGUUUUUAGAAAGCUGGUGGAAAAAAUAUUUUUAAAUACGCACUUGGGUUUUUGUUUCAUUGUUGCAUAUUUUAGCUGAUGCUUUUUGAUGCUGAUUAUUUUUAAUUGCCUCUAAGCCACCUUGAGAUUCCUUGUCCAAGAAGGAAGAUGUUUUAUUCAAACAAAACAAAAUAAUUACUUCAUAUACUGUAUUUCCAAAGCCUCUUCCAGACUGUUGCUGAUUUGCAGCUUAAUUCAGUUAAAGGGACCCCUGACCAUUAGGUCCAGUCGUGACCGACUCUGGGGUUGUGGCGCUCAUCUUGCUUUAUUGACCGAGGGAGCCAGCGUACAGCUUCUGGGUCAUGUGGCCUGCAUGACUAAGCCGCUUCUGGCGAACCAGAGCAGCACACGGAAACACCGUUUACCUUCCCGCAGGAGCGGUCCCUAUUUAUCUACUUGCACUUUGACAUGCUUUCGAACUGCUAGGUGGGCAGGAGCUGGGACCGAGCAAUGGGAGCUCACCCCAUUGUGGGGAUUCGAACCGCCGACCUUCUGAUUGGCAAGUCCUAGGCUCUGUGGUUUAACCCACAGCGCCACCCGCGUCCCUUUAAUUCAGUUACAUGCCUGCAAAUUCAGGUUGUGUAAUACAGUGAAUUUGGUGCUCUUGUACAACACACCUGCUUCCCCCACCCCAAAAUUUGAUGUUUUAUGAUAAGAAAAGUGACAGAAAACUAGCCUGGAAAGUGUGGUACAUCUGCACAUUUCCACUUUAAAUAUUUGGUUGACAGGAGGCUUUGCACUGAUUAAAUUACCCUUAAUAUAGUAUGGGUUGUUUGUUUACUGAAAAAAAGAACCACAUUAAAAGGCCAAAUUCUCUUCUGACUGUGUGAAGUGAUAUAGAAUUAUUUCUGUGCUAUGCUAGUCCAUUGUAGCAAAAUCAGGAGAGUCUUGUAGCAUCUUAAAGACUAACAAAGCUUUUGUGGACUAGAAUCAAUUUCAAUGGAUACAUUGAAGUGUUGUCCUAAAUUGGCCAGUAUACAUUCACGUGACACAAGGGGACAAUGAUAAAAUGUGGCCUUUCUGUGAGCUUCCCUUUUUGCCAAAGCAAUGGGUGGGGUGGGCGUGUAAAAUUUAAAAUAGUAACACAAAGUGCCAUGAAAUGCAAGAAGUAUAGUGUCUGACAAUUUAAUCAAAGCUUAAAUGUAUGCAAAUGUUCUGUGACCAUUUAAAUAGUCAUUGCUGAUAACAUCUUAGAACAGCUGAGGAAAUUAACAUUUGAAUUGGAAGACAUUGUCACCAUUUGGGCCCAGACAAAUAAAAUCAAACUUCAUUGUGAGUUUCAGUUCAGCUGUCUCAUUCUGGAAUCCCUUUGAAAUUCUUACUGCAGCUUUCAGUUCCCAAGAAGAUUCAAAUGUUGCCCUACUGGUUUCUGAAUGAGUUACAUGGUGUCCUAGGUAAUGUACAUAUGCAUUUUCAGGUUGCCUAUAGCUCUUCAUCAAGCAGAAUGGAAGGAUAACUGAUUCCCAGUUAAACAGACAGCAAGAUUCAUUUAUUAAGGCAGAUAUUCUAGUCACUUUAAACAGUAUCAUGAUACAUGAAUAUGUACAGUCCAGUACCCAGUUAAAUGCACUCAAAUGCCAUAGACUUAAAUGAGGUGUAGUCAUCCUUAGUUGUGCUGUGAACUGAUGUAGUGGCAAAGUGGCACUCAGAAUUUCCCAGUUCAAAUCUCACCUAUGUCAUUAACUGCCUACAUCAGGCAUAGGUAAACUCGGCCCUCCAGCUGUUUUGAGACUACAAUUCCCAUCAUCCUUGACCACUGGGCCUGUUAGCUAUAGAUGAUGGGCGUUGUAGUCCCAAAACAUCUGGAGGGCUGAGUUUGCCUAUGUUCUGAGGCAAGACAGUUUUUGCUCAGCCUCCCUUCAGCACCUGCAAGUUGUUGUUGUUGUUGCUGUUAUACCUUACAGAGUUGUUGUAAGGUUACCGGUAAUUUGAUAAUAGAUAACAAGUAAAGGAAGCUGUGUUGGUCCAUAAGAAAAAUAAAGUUUAUUUAGGAUAAUACUUUUAUAAGGCCAACCCAAAUUUCACAAAAUAGUAUGCAAGUUUUAAACUUCUCCGGGCUUAUCAGGCUACAUGGUAAAGAAAACAAGUGGGGCAAUUGGCUGCUGGUAAAGCCAUAAGUGUACAUCUUACAAAAAUUGGCCUAAUAAAAGUUGUAUUGACCUAAUCUGGAUUUUGGAAUACCUAAAACAUGUUAGCUUUCAAAGUGCUACAUAAAUGCUAGGUAUUAUUAUUGUAGGGACGCGGGUGGCGCUGAGGGUUAAACCACAGAGCCUAGGACUUGCCGAUCAGAAGGUUGGCGGUUUGAAUCCUUGCGACGGGGUGAGCUCCCGUUGCUCAGUCCCUGCUCCUGCCAACCUAGCAGUUCGAAAGCACGCCAAAGUGCAAGUAGAUAAAUAGGUACUGCUCUGGUGGGAAGGUAAACGGCGUUUCUGUGCGCUGCUCUGGUUCGCCAGAAGUGGCUUAGUCAUGCUGGCCACAUGACCCGGAAGCUGUACACUGCCGGCUCCCUUGGCCAAUAAAGCGAGAUGAGCGCCGCAACCCCAGAGUCGGUCACGACUGGACGUAAUGGUCAGGGGUUCCUUUACCUUUACCUUAUUAUUAUUGUACACCAGACUUUCAGUUUUGCUUUGCUUUUAUAAACCCCAACAAUGUAAACAAUGGAGAGAAUAUACGUUUGAGUGUAUGUUUCUUGAUAUAUCUGUAUCCUUGUUGUAUUAGGAAGUGGUGUGUAUCUAUCUAAGAGCUAUCAUUUCAAAGCUCUGAAAGGAAAGUUAAAGCUGCAGCGAUAAUUCUCCCUCCCGUUCCUAAAGUUUGAUGCUUCCCCAAAACUUCCUCUUGUUCUCCUUUGCAAUGACCUACUUCGCAUGUAUUCAGAUUGAUAUUAUCAUUUCUAAUAAAUGCAUGUAAAGAAAUGGAAAGGAAGCUAGUGCCAAACUGAAACAAUAAAAAGAUGACAGCUGAUACAACCAGGCUCUAUCACCAGGAAAACAGAUUCCUGAGCGCGUGCAAAUAUCCUCUGUAUACUGCUAAUCACAGAAAACAUGGAAGGCAGCCGCCUUGCUUUAAUAGAUUAUUUACAUUUCUUCAUAUCUGUCAUCAGUCUAUCGUGUCCUUUGUGUGUGCUUGUAGUUUCAGAUUAAAGAGGCUGCUUCAAGAAGACAGGAUUUCUGGCAACAUUUGUUUAGGAGCCUGACUAGUCAGUAGCUGGAAUAUUUGGUUUGCCAGCUAAUCCAGUUAACUCAGAAUUAGUUGGAAUGAUUAAGCAAUCCCUUCAGGGUCUGUUUCUUUUUAAAAAACAACAACAACAAUAACCCAUGCUUCUUCUACACACCCAAAUGAUGCAAGAAACAGGUUAGAAUUUGAGAGAAAAGCCUGCCACAUCAUUACUCCUCAAUGCUUGUAAAAAAAUUGUUGUGCUGGCAUUCAUACACUGAAAAAUUGUAAAAUGCCUCUCUUGCUCCUCCUCCUUCCUGUGCUGUUCCCCCCUCUAUUUGUAGUGAACUUUCAACAUAAAAGUAGACAUAAAAAUAGUGUGUGUGUGUAGUUUUAGAAAUGCCCUUCUUUACCUGAAUUUUUAAUGAUAAAAAAUUAAGACCUUGCCAAGGGGCACAAAGUGACCACUGUGCACAAAAUGAGAGUGUGUACAAUAAUCAGGACAAAAGGGAGAAAUGUGCUAAGAAGUCGGCAUGUUUGGCAAACCCUCACCAUGAUCAACUCCCGCCCAGAAACCUAUGUCCCCACUGUGGAAGGAUGUGCGGUUCCAGAAUUGGCCUCCACAGUCACUUACGGACUCACGGUUAAAACCGUGUUUAUGGAAGACAAUGUUACUUGUACUUGGCUACAAGUGAUCGCCAAAGAAGAAGAAAUAUACAGUCACUGCUGAUUCUUUGCCCCCAAAACCUCAUGCCUAACAUGGGAAGUCAGCUAUGACCUACUGGUCCUGAUUACGGAGAUCACACAAUACUGGAAUCACACCAACACCCAAUAAUGUUGUUGUCUAAUGACAACAGGGAACUUUCCCCAGUACUAGGGAAAUUACACAAGGGGACCUGGCUGGGGUCCAAAACAUCUGGGGAGCACCAAGUUGACAAAGCUUGCUAUAGAAUUUGUAUCCUGAGUUAACCAUGCCUUGCUAGUUCUCACCAUUCUACCUAUGAUUUCUUUUAAAAUCAGAGUCCUCCACCUCACCCAUUUUGGUUCCCAGGCUCCUAGCAUUAGCAUAUAAAUACAUGGUGUCUCUCUCCAAAUGCCUGUGUUAUGUACAUUUUACCUUGCAGCACUUUGACUUGAUAGGAUUGCUAUCCUGUCUCCCUGCACUUCUAUUGUCUAGUUCUACCCCUCUGCCAUUCGGACAAUCAUUAACAAGCUUGGCUCCACCCUGGGUCACAAGUUGCUUUUAAAACUGCCAGUGGAAAGAAAGGCGAUGCAAUGGGAUGCAAUGAGUUAUCUGGAUCAGGGCAUCUGCAUCUGAGUUGGUUCUCCUACCCACCCACCCCGACUUACAUCAAUUGUUUUAAUUAGUUCAUACACCUAUCAUUGAGUAAAAGGAAGGCACAUUCACUUGGUGACUGUUCUUAUAUUUAUGAUUUGGAAGUUUUAAACAUUAAGGCCCAACUGAACAUGUUUAUUCUGCAUACAUGGCAUUAAAGAAGCUGCUGAACAGAAAACUCUUUUGUGCAAGAACGUUAAGAUGUCCCAACAUACUCAGCUUUCAUUUACAUAAUUGCUGGUGUGGUCAGAGGACCAGGUAUUUGGUUUGGAGAUCUGAGAUUCCCAUCCCCACUCAGCUAUGUUACUGCGGAGACUGGAGCAAAACAGUUACCGGUACUCAAUCCAAUUUAUGCUGAUGAUUGACAGGACACAGUGAUAUAUAUCUAUAUAUAUAUAGAUAUAUAUAUAUAGAUAUGGAAAAGGGGUCUAUGCUUUUAUUAUUUUCAACUCUUGUGAAACCCUAUCCAUAUUUACUCAGAGGUAAAUUCCAUCAAUUCAGUGGCAUUUAUUUCCUUGUCAGUAUACUUAGGGCAAAAAUCACAUGUGCAUUUUAAAGCAUUUUCACUUAUCACUUGGGAAUCUUCCACAGUGUCAGUUAAUAUUUAUUACUGCACUUCAUAUGUUAAGCUUUCCAGAUUAAGCAGCACUUUAUAUCAAUUUAGGUCCAGCUAAUGCAGAAGACACUCCCCCAUAUUCCUAUCCCAGUGUCCUGUGGCCAGACUAAGAGGAACUCCCACACUAUAUUUCCUGACUAUUCACCCACAGUAGCUCAAAACAAGAAUCUUCUAACACAAGUAUUAUUGUCCAUCACUAUGAACAUGGAGCGACAAAGAUUUACGAAAUGAGCCAAUUCCUAAAAUAUAGAACUUUCUUUCUUUCUUUUCUUUUUCUUCAUACCAUUUCAUACUAUUUACUCUUCUUAGUUCAAUAAAAUAUUGGUUCUCAGAAGAUGAGGUAAUUAAGUAAAAUAAUAAUGCCCCCUAUAAAACAAACCCCAUAAAAGAAUUCAGCUUUAGGAAACAGAAAAGGAAGGAAACUACAACUUCUGUCAAAGCAUGGAGAUGAGAUUAGCAUUAUUAAAGCAUUCUUCAGAGAAAAUAACGAUAAUGUGGUUUAACAGGCAUUCCACUACCUCUUAUUUCCAUUAUGUGUCCCCUACGGUAUGUGCUUUCUUAAUUAAAUGUAAGGGAAAGACCUGCAAAAGCACUUUCUGUUUUAAAAAAUAGCUGCACUCAUAAUUACCCGGCUAAUUAUUUAGAGCAAAUGUCCAUUGUUUAAUGUCCUAAAAACAUCGCCAACACAUAAUUCACCUAGUUGUAAAAUAUUUGAAAUUAAAACCUGUAGCUAUGUCAAAAACUGUUCCAUCAUAAAUACAAAGGUGUUAAUCAGUUGGAAGUGACUGCUUUACUUCUAGGUCUAUAUUGACUAAACUACUAUAUCUACUACUGCAGUACUACUCUCAUUAAAUAGCAAUAGAUUACGAGUAAUGUUGAUCAAAUUAUUAGAAAUGAACAAUGUACUUGAAGAAGUCAUUUCUCUCUGUGUGUGAGUGUGUCUGAGAGAGGAGGGUUUCUUUGCCCUUGUAAAGUUCCCUCCAGCAGGGGCGUCUUACCCAUUAGGGUUAGGGGCGUCCUGCGCCACGGCGCGCGCCCAUCAGGGGCGCUCAGCAGCGGGAGUCCGGGGCCCAGGGGCAUAGCAACGGGGGUGCAAUGGGGGCACACCGCCCCGGGCAGCAUUUUGGGAAAGGGUGCCAUUGCGGCUGCCCCCCCCGGCACGCCCCGCGCCCUCCCGGGACGCGCGCCACGCCCCCCAUGCAGCCAGCCAGCCGAACCCAGCGCGCAAGCACAAGGGAGGCGCAGCAAAGUGUGCAAUGGGGAUCCCUUGUGCUUGCGCGUCGGGCUCGGCUGGCUGGCUGCAGAGAGCGAGCGAGAGCAGCGCCUCCGUCGCCGGCUGCCUUGGCAGCCUCCCUCCCUCCUUGCCCUCCCCCAGCCGGGCACUGUGGCCGGGCAGUCAGGCUGAAUCUUUGGCCAGCAACCGGGGGGGGGGACCCAUCUCCCCGCUCCGCCUUUGCGCGGCCGCUGCUACAACUGGGAAGCGACAGGCGAGGCGGGGAGGAGUUUGGAUGGUUGCGGGGAGGCCAGGAGAGGAACGGCUCCAAAGGUAUUCCUCCCCCCCCCUUCCCGCCAUUUGGACAUGCACGUUGCACGCUAUGCAACCCCGUGGGUGCAAAACCAGCAAGAAGAUCACGCAGUGGGAUCCAGGAGUACCAUUUUUUUAAAAUACAAAGAGCUAAAUCCAAAAGAAAACACUGCUUUCAGCCUGGUGUGACCCAUGUUAGGUUUACCCACCCAACCCUUUUUUGGCAGGCGAGUUGUGUGUGUCCGUUCUGUUUUGCCCUCCUCUGAUGCAUUUGGAGGUGUCCACUGUUUGUAAGGCAUUUCUAUCCAAGUGCAAUUUGGGAAGCCCAUUGGGUGACCUUGGGCCACUCACUGUCUGCAAGCCUAACCUACUUCACAGUGUUGUUGUGAGAAAUGUGAAAGGGGUAAACUCUGCAUGCCACCCUGAGCUCCUUAGAGCAAUGGUAAAUGUAUUAAGAGACAGGGGCAUGGUGGGCCGGCUCUGGUGUCAUUCCUCAGGGUUGGUGUCAAAAAUCCCCACUGGGUGAUUCUGCGCUGUGGCACUCGGUCGCCUGGCAGCUUGCGCACCCCCAUCAGCCUGUGUGUGCACUCCUGUUCUGCGCAGCAAGCCUCCCUGCUCUCCAUGCAAUUAGUGGUUAAAAACAAACAAACACCAACAAAAAGACUUUAAAGACGGGGACAGGUUUUAAGGUCCUAUUAGAUUCAGCAGGGCUUACUCUCAGGUAAGUGCAGUUGUGACCCAGGUUUUGGGUCCUUUUUAGGUUCGGGAUGUCACUGCUUUACACCCACACCCACCCCACGCCCCACAAUAUUUGAAAACAUCAGCUUUGUACUUAAACACAAAUUGACCAGGAACUUCAUUCUCUGUGUCUUUAUCAAUUUAUUUAAAGAACAAGAAACUGGUGAUUGCUUUAACUUUUAGAUAUAAGUGGUGAUUUAAAUCAUGAGGAUAAAUUAGAAGAACUGCUGAGUCUUGAAUGAGUCUUGCUGUGGAAUUGAGGACUUCAUUAGAUUUUCUUCUGCAUUUUCAUUUUAUUUUGUUCCAAGGGCUUGUUAGAGAUAAUGUGUAAGUGUGGUGUCAGCUCCCUAAAAAAAGGAACCUUUCCUAAAAAAGGCCGAAAACUCUGGGAAAUGGGGGGGGGGCACUGGAGGGAUCUUUGCACCACAGCGCCAGAUAUCCUUAAGAUGGCCCUGCCCUCCUGUUUCGUUUAAAACCCUGCUUCUUCAGGUGAGAUGUGCAGAUCACCUGAGUAGGCAUAACUGUGAUCUUCUCUCCAAUCUUCAACUAAUAUUGCUGGAAUCAGUCAAUAGCUCCCUAGAGGACAAAAUCUCUCAUUGCUUUCCUCCCUCUAGGAACAAGUGAUGCUUCCCCCAGAGCUCAUGUCAAUGAUGGUUUUACAAUGCACAUAAUUCUCAUUUUACACAGUGGUUAAAGCUAUGUAUGUACCCUACAUCCUUAGGGGGCUUCUGUACCAUGAUGCAUAGAAAGGGGGGAAAGGAGCAUGUUGUUUAGCUUCUUAUGCCACAGUGAAGAGCUGCAUAUUGUAGAAAAUUCCCUACUUUGAAGCAUACAGUCCUCCAAAUGCUCUUUUUAGCCCAGGGCUUUUUGACUCACUUAGAAUCCAGUCCGCCUUUGAAUCCAGGCACGUAAUCCCUAUGUGUUGCCAGAGUGCUAGAGCUCUAAAUACAUAACAUUUCAGGGGCAGUAAUUAGGUACCAGCUCAAGCCUUUAAAUAAUAUUGUUACAACCUGUCUUGUUUUCCACAUGGAAAGUGGAAAAACAAUGGCAAAAAGGUCAGCCUAUUCAUAGAUUCCACAGUAGGUAGCUCCUGGUCCAGACAUUUCCUAUUUUGGCAGUUCAUUAGCUGGGCUAUGUAUAGUGGACGUUCUCUUUUGGAGCUUGUUCAUUUCUGAGAGUCUGAAGCUCUAAUUGACAUAGGAAUGGAUGGAUUUAAUGUAGUUCAAGUGUGGGCAGCUCAGGGAAGCCAAUCCAAGUUAAUACCAUUGCUGUUCACGUUAUUGUUGUCAAACACCAUCGUUUCUUGGCCUCUUGGUUUCUGGGUGUUCAAAGUGGUGCAUGGAGAAUAACAAAAACCCUUUCGCACCAAAGGUACCUAAUAUUUUUAAAAUACGUAACUACAAUGCAGAAGCCAUCAGAACAUAAUGGGCAGAUUAGAAGCAGUCAACAAAUUCAGUGUCAUGCGCCAUUAAAUGGGCAAGCAGAUUUUUUUACUUGUUGCCUGAAAAUCAUCAGAAAGUCCAAGAAGGGAAAGAGAAACUGCUCUUGAAACUAAGGCUGUGUAUGCUUCAACUUACAUUUACUCUUCAUGCAGUGCUUUCCCACUGCUGGUUUGAGAAGUGUUGUACACACGACAGUAGCUGCAAUCCCUAUUUUUCCUAUGUCUAUCUAAUCGUAUCUAAUGAAGUGCUAUGUUUUGUUGUAUUCCCCCCCAAGCCAGCUUCAAUGUGAACUGAGAAAAGGAAUGACCUAGCUGCAUUUUAAGCUGGUUUUGUGUGUCCAGCAUAUUUAAAGGCCAAUCUCGUCUCAUUGAAACUUGCCAAUACAUUAAUCAUGAUUUCAUUAAUACAAUAAUCUUUAAUGGGUGAUUCAGAUCUGAUUUUUUAUUUGCCGCAUUAGCUUCCAAACUGUCAUGUUUUUCUCUCCAUACCAGUGCGUGGAACGUCAUCCCUCUUCCACACCUACCACUGCCUAUUUACAUUCUGAACAUUGUCCUCACCUUUAAAAAUCCCAGAAAGUAUUCAAGACUCCAAGAACAAACAUUACCAGCCUUAGUUGGUGUGUUUCACAAUGUGUGGAGUGGAGCUUUGUGCUUUUUCCGUUUUAUGGUGGGUGUACAAUGCCCAUUCCCAUUUGGGCUUUAAAAAACAACGGAAGUAUUGGGCAAGAACAAUAUUUACCUGACUAGUUUGCACAAUAGUGUUUUGAGUAAUGGCCAUUUUCACAUUCGCAUGCUUGAACCAUAAACCCAUGCAAAUGGUUUAAAGAGCUCGACCUAGCUCAUUAUUUCACACGCUGCUGCAGGAGCAAUUGCAAUAUGUGUGAGCAUGCAUGCGCGUGUGUGCGCUUCAGCCAUUGCUGCCUCUGUCUCUCCCAGGCUCUGCUGAGUCAAGGUGGGCAGAGCGAGUGGUAGCAGAAGAGCACAGGGAUUGGAUAGUGGCCGUUGGUCUCACAUCCACUGCUCUGCACAGCUCUUCUGCGCCCAGCAGCAGGAUGCAAACCCUUUCAGGCCAUAGGACUGAAAAGAAAGCUGUGAGAUUAUUAGUUUUGCAGGCUCCCCAGUUCCACCCAGGUACUAAAAGUUUUGAAAUAAAAAACUGGAACUCUGUCUCUUCUGGUAGUCAAAGCUUUUGCAAAAAAGGGCUCCCUUGGGGAGUGUUAAGGAAAGUGUCUUUUCGAGCACUGUGAUCAAGAGCACAAGGCAUGACACUGGGCAACAGCUACAGCUACUCAACACUUCUGGGUCCAGGGUCUAUUUUUAACAGUGUGUGUGUGUGUGUGUGUGUGUGUGCGCGCGCAUAUAUAUAUAUAUAUAUAUAUAUAUAUAUAUAUAUAUAUACACACACACACACAUACAUAUAUACACACCCUCUUAUGAAGGAGCCACACCAUUGCCUCAUAAAAGCUGGAUGACAUUCCCUCCUCUGCACCUCCCAUCCUAGGUACCAAGACACUCCCUGGAUCAACCCCUUCAGUCGCCUUUGGCUAGUUGUUAUAAUAUAAGCCAUGAUGGACAAGGGUCAAAAGGGCACUGAUGUGGCUGCUCAAACUCCUUCAGGCAGGUUGCAUCUACCAUUACAUUGCCAUAAUUUGCAUUUUGUGUUUCUAUAUUGUGAUUUUAUGUUGUAACCACCCUGAGGGUAUAGGGUAAUAAUAAUAAUAAUAGAAGAAGAAGGAGAAGGAGAAGGAGAAGGAGAAACUGAUCCAAAAUAACCUGACUAGAUUGUGCUCUGGAAACCUCCAUGAUGAUGAACUCACCACGAACAGUGGUAUCCAAUUCCCUGCUAAUCUGAUCAAUCAAUUAUUCCUUUUAUUUUCUUUUUCUUUUCUUUUGUGUACCUGGGCUGGGGGCUUUUCUGUAGCAGCAGUCCAAUGGAACUCCCUUCAUUUGGAGAUUAGGUUGGCCCCAUUUUUGGCAAGACUGCAAAUACUGUUCGUUCAUCUUUCAAUGAGUGUUAAGUUCUCCACCUUCGGAAGCUGUAGGCAUCUGAUUACCAGUUGCUGGGAUCUGCAGCUGGAGAGAGGACUGCUGUGCUCAGGUUUUGCUUGUGAAUUUCCUAUGGGCAUCUGAUUGGUCACUGUGAGAACAGGAUUCUGGAAUGAGACUUUGGCCUGAGUCAGCAGACUCAUGUUGUGUUCUUGGGCUGUCUGGCUCUGUUUUAGUCAGGGUUGUGUUCUGUUUUUAAGUUGUGUUUUGGAUAUGUAUUGUUUUUAAUUAUUGUGUAUUACCUUGUGGGAUCUUGAGAUUCAUAAAAAAAUUCUACUACUAAUAAUUUAUUUUACAGUUAGCAAGAUUGAACCUGGCAAAGGCCUGAUAUAAAUCAUCAAAUAAAUCAUGAUUUAUAUAAUGUGGGCAUCACAUUUAAUAAAGCCAUAGCAGAAAUGAAUAGAUGGAAGUUCAGUACUGUCAGGGCUGCCUCAGGUCUCAGCUCACAAAAGACCAACGCCAAGUUCUUCUUAUAUACAAAGGCAUUUAUUGGAGUUCAUUGUUUGCUUCACAUCCGAGGUGCGCAGCCCCACGUCUGUUACGCUUAGACCGUUGAAGUCCCCUCUGAGUCAGUCCCUCCCCUGCACCAGUUUAAGAGGCUUGCGCUGCUCCACCUCUUCCUCUCUUUCCUUUUCCGCAGGGUCUUCCUGCCCGCUGGGGUUUCGCCCCUCCUGGAUUCCCCUGACGCGGAAUCCCCAGAUUGCUCUUCCCCCCUCCUGCGGGCUUUGGGAGCAGGCUCCUCCUCCGGGCUCCCUGUACUUCCGCGCGCCUCCACAUUUGAACUUGGCGCGCGCGCCCAACCUCUAACCUUCCUUUUGACAGUUACACUACUCCCUUCACUACUCCCCUCCCCUUCCGGGAGGGUGGCUUGCUCCGACCUCCCUCCCUUCUCUGCUGCCGGAGCUGCUCCCCUGAUACACUGGAACCUCCACCCCCUUCGCUGCACUCUGGCGGGGAGGCUGGUCCUGACGGCCAGCUGCCACUUUGGGAUCCCCCGCUGGCCCCCUGCUCCUGACACGUCCCCCCUGGGGCUCCCCUGGCCUUGACCACCGGCGCCCCCUGGGAAUCCUCUGAUUCGCUGGAAAGACUCAUGGAAUCUCUUGAGUCAUUGUCAUCCUCUUCCUCGCUGUCCUGGGAUUCAUCCCCAUCGCUCUCCAUCUCCUGCCUACCCUGUGCCUCUGUCCCUGAACCCCUGACAAGUACAUUUAAAAAUAAUUUCAUAGGUGAUACAGUGGUACCUCGGAUUAAGUACUUAAUUCGUUCCGGAGGUCCCUUCUUAACCUGAAACUGUUCUUAACCUGAAGCACCACUUUACCUAAUGGGGCCUCCUGCUGUGGCCGCACCACUGCUGCACGAUUUCUGUUCUCAUCCUGAAGCAAAGUUCUUAACCUGAGGUACUAUUUCUGGGUUAGUGGAGUCUGUAACCUGAAGCAUAUGUAACCUGAGGUACCACUGUAUAUGUAUGGCAUGAAGGUUAUAGUGCUGGGAGACCAAGGUCCGAAUUGCCACUCAGCCAUCAAGAUCCCUCAGAGAGGGUUGUUGUGCGAAUGGAAUGGGGAAGAGAACCAUGUAUACUGCCUUGAGCUCCUUGCAAGAAAAAAGUGGCAAAUAAAUAAUAGAAUCAGAGAAUUGUAAGGAACCGCAAGAGGCAUCUAAUCCAACCCCCUGUGGUACAGAAAUCAUUUUCCCAAUGUGGGGCUCAAAACCAUGACCCUGAGAUUUAGAGUCUCAUGCUCUGCUCUGAGUGAGCUAUCCCAAACUUCCUAAUAAAUAAAUAAAUACAUAAAGGCCUAUGGCUUCAUGCAACCCUUGAUGGUAAACAAACAUGUGAUUACAUUGCAUGACAUAUUGUUUAAAAAGCUAUUUGGAUAUUUAAGAUUGUGAAAAUCUUCAAAACAACCCAACGUGCUGUGUCACUAGAUUCGUUUUUCACAUUGAACUUCAAACAAUGGUUAUUUCAAUCACUUGCAAGGUCUCUGCGAUACCUGAUGCCAAGGUUCCAGUUCUUUGUGAGCUUGGAAAGCACAUCGGCUCAGCCCUUCUUCUGCCCUCACCUUCCUUCUGCACCCUUUGCCUUUGCUUCGACCUGUAUUGAAUGGCGUGCCCCUCCAUUACUCACCUGUGCACCAACACUUUGGAAUGUGCUCUCCCACUUUUAACUCCGUAAUUCAUUGUAAGCAUGUUUUAUAGAAACAUUUAUUUCAGUUAAGCAGUCAAGCUUAAACAGAGCUUUCAGUUUUAAAAUGAUUUAUUUCCAUGGAGGUUAUUGGCGAAGCCUAGUGAGAGUUAUUGCCUCUGCCCUCCGUGCCCACUGCUCUCGCGUCAGUGAGCAAUAGUGUACUGUGGCUUCACUCUGUGAUAUCACCACAGGAGACUACAGCUACCCACUCAUUUAAGAGUUUGCACCUCCUGCCAGAUGCAAGGACUGAUAUAGCUACAUGCCUUAUUAAAAACACAGUAGCUGUGUCGUCUUUACAAUGCCCAAGUAUAUUGACUGCUUUUACAAGAUUUAGAGUCAAAGAGAGUGGAAUUCCCAUUUCUUCUGAUUGCGUAUAUAGGUGUUUUUAGAGAGAGGAAAUAGACAGGGCAAUAAAUCAUUAGCUUUCAUUAGCUUCCAAUAAAAUGGAUUUCUAAAGCUAGGUGGGGAGAGAUCAAGUUACUUCUGCAGUUUCUAACUAGCAAUGGUACAUUUGCAUUACAGGUCCAGGGACUCUACUGCCGCCUUUCCAUAGUUCAAACCAUGCUCAGGGUGGUUUAUGUUCUGAUAAAACUUGCAUAUUUACAAACAUAACCCAAAGUCAUCAGCAUCUUCAGAUCCUAUUGGUCAGCCAGAUAUAGAAUAUAGCCAAAAACAAAUACAGUUGUACCUUGGAUCUCAAACGCCUUGGCUCCCGAACAAAUUGACUCCCAAAUGCUUGAAACCUGGAAAUGAGUGUUCCGGUUUUCAAACAAUUUUUGGAAACCGAAUGUCCAGUGCAGCUUCCGCGACUUCUGAUUGGCUGCAGGACGCUUCUGCAGCCAAUCGGAAGCCACACCUUGGUUUUCGAACGGUUCCGGGAGUAGAAUGGACUCCCGGAAUGCAUUCUGUUUGAGAACCAAGGUACGACUGUAAACAAAUAACAGACAGGUCUCAAAAAUACAUUAUAGCACAUAUGACAUUAUAAGCAAAAGUCGUCAUACUAAUAAAUAAAACACAUCAACAAGUACACAUCCAAAUUGAACAAUUUACACAUAAAUAAUAAUAAGAACUAAAAUAAAGAUGCAAAAGAUUAAUAUCAAUAACAGCAACAACCCACCCCAACAAAAAGCCCUACCCCAGCCCAAGAGUCUGCUCAGCAGCCUCAGCCUUUGUAGCUGGAGUCAAUCAGGACCUCACCCUCCCAGGCCAGUUGAAAAAAGCCUACAAGGCAGCAAGCAGGUCUUCAAGGGCUCACAGCAAGAUGGUCUCAAGUUAUGAAAAUAAUUCAAAUUAUUAUUCUUGCUUGCUAUCUUUGCCAAGUCUUCGAAGCAUGAAUCACUCUAGAAAAGACAAGACGAGCUUGGAGGACUUCUCCAAAACUUUCUUUAGCAAUACAUUUACCCCUGAAAUUCAUGUUCAUUACUAAGCUCUUCGUUCAUGACACCCUUGCUCUGAGAGAAACUAAGUACGAAAGGAUUAGCAAAGCUCCUUGGAAAAAGCUGGCACUUUUCAAACUACCCAAGGUAGACUCCAGCUGGCUUAAAGUUUACUUAUAAAGGAUUAAGUAAUUAAAAUGAAGGCUGAUAUUUCCAAACGCUCUGUUAUGCACCCAAUUCCAACUUCCAUACUUUCGGGGUGUGAUCAUGGAAUUGAGGAAUGCAUGGCACUCCCUUAUGGAUGAACAUUAUAAAAAACACAGAAAAUUUGGCUCAUAAGCUUCAGCUUGUUAGUGAAUUUUCAACUGUGUGAGGUGGUUCUUUUUACGGAAUUGGUAGGUAGUUUUGUGAUCUGUAGAUGUUAAAUCAGGCAUAUUGGGAGCUAAUAUUGGGCUGAUGGCUACUCUAUUGCAAAGGGUCCUUGGGACUGGAUAAAAGACCUAGGUUUUCAAGAUGAACACAGGUCUGGAACACUGGUAGAGUAAAAGGAGUGUUGGGGUAGUUUUAGGGGGAAAGUGACCAGAAAUGUAGGGGUUAUGUGCCUCCUUUCUCUACCUCCUCUGAUGCAAAGAACCUCCUACCACUGUAGGUUAACAUUAGAUGAUGGUUGUUGGUUAACAUUGGGAAACCCAGCCAGAUAGGUGGGGUAUAAAUAAAUAAUAAUAAUUAUAUUAUUUGUUUAUUUGUAAUUCACUUGCCAUGGCUACCAGUCAGAACUCAUGGAAAAUGUAGUCCAAACUACCUUGAAAGCAUCUGGUUCUGGAUGGCUGCUUCAAAAUAUGCACCUCCUGCCCUCACUCCAGAGCUCUCAUCGCACCGUGAUGUGAACAACACAAGCUCUAGUGAUUUGCUCCAAUAAAAGCAGGCUUCCCAUUCACUUCAAUGGAAGGGGUAGUACCACACACAUCCCUUUGUAUGAACAGAUCCUCUCCUCCAGUGAUAUGAACAAUGGUACUCUUGCAUAGUGGGGAAGUUGAGAAACUCCACAUACAUUUUGGAGCUCUCACACUCAUGUAAACCAGCCAAGGUGCUAUUAUUAUUAUUACAGUAUUAUUAUUAUUAUUAUUAUUAUUAUUAUUGACCUGGCCUUCACACUAAGGUUUCAGGGCAUGUUACAACUAUUUACUAUACAGCUUAAAGCAGUUUAAAAACUUACAAUUAAAAAAUGCAGUGACCAAAAAUAGGUGAGCUCUGGAAAAAAUACCGUAUUUUUUUGUCUAUAAGACACUCCCAUGUAUAAGACACCCCCUAUUUUUGUGGACUCCAAUUUAAGAAAAUGGGGGAAGAUCUAUCCAUGUAUAAGACGCCACCAAAUUUUGGACAUUAUUUUUCAGGGGGGGAAACCUAGUCUUAUACAUGGAAAAGUAUGGUACAUCUCAGGUGUCAAAGGCCAGGGUAAAGAGGUGCUAGGCCAAGAUAAAUUGCUCCAGAACUGUCUGUUGGGUUCCUCAUUGUUUAACGGUUGCAUCUGGCACACCCAGUGAAUUUCAUGCCAUAAUUAGAUGAUAUAACUGUCUCAUGAACUCUGUGCAAUUGACCUCAUCUCUGUAUUGUUUUUGCAGUAACCCUGUUUUUGUUGAAUGAUAUGGGCACAGAUCCAAUUUAUAUUGCAGUCCAUAAGUUACGCUCGCUUAUUGCUUGAUGGCCCCAAAUGAAUAACCGACAUCAACAGAAGUAAUUAAGUGAUUUUCCUUUUUAAACACAGUAGGCACUUUGCACUCAGAUACAGAAUUUAUUUCCACGAUUAACCAUUUCCUACCAGUAUAUCUAUUUUUUACUUCUUCGGUUAUCUUUGUGAGCUUGUGUUUAUAAUGUGUCAUUUAGGAUUCAGCCAUUAGUUUACAUUUGUUGUCCUUUGCCUGAAAAUGCAGCAUCCCUUUCUCUCGAAAACCUUCUGUUGUAUUUAUACAAAAUUUCAUGACUUUCCAUUCCUACUGUGAUAUUCUAUUGGUUGUGCAUAUAAUUCUUUUAUUUUAUUGUCUUUGUUGUUUUUGUUUAGUCGUGUCCGACUCUUCAUGACCCCAUGGACCAGAGCACGCCAGGCACUGUGCAUAUAAUUUGUUUUAUUUUAUUGUCUUAGAUUACAUAAAGAAAAAGGCAACAAUAACAGCUGCUGUCCAUAAUAACCAAAGCAGUCAGAGACUGACAGAUAUAAUCAAUGCUUUUCCUGUGUCUUGUAGGCAGAUUUUGUCUAUGGUUUAUACAAGGAUUUAGGGCAUGGCCUAUAUUGGUAAGAGUGUUAAAUUAAGACCAAAGAGACAUAAGAUCUCAUCUCCACUUGGCGAUGAAUUCCACAGGUGACACUGGGCCAGUUAAAAUGCCGCAGCCUAGCAAACUUCAUCAGGAUAUUGUGAAGAAAGAAGAAGAAGAAGAAGAAGAAGAAGAAGAAGAAGAAGAAGAAGAAGAAGUAGUAGUUUGGACUUGAUAUCCUGCCUUUCACUCCUCUUAAGGAGUCUCAAAGCGGCUAACAAUCUUCUUUCCCUUCCUCCCCCACAACAAACACUCUGUGAGGUGAGGCUGAGAGACUUCAGAGGAGUGUGACUAGCCCAAGGUCACUCAGUAGCUGCAUGUGGAGGAGCAGAGACACGAACCCAGUUAGCCAGAUUACGAGUCCAACACUCUUAACCACUACAUUGUAAGCCACCUCAAUAUAAGGCAGAUUCCAAUGUUGUUAUGACCUUUGUGCCUGUUUAGAGUUGUCAGGAGAGCCAGUCAUGGAUCCUGCACAUCUCAUCUGUUCUGGAGUUAUCCUAACCCUAUGAGCAUCCUAUACAAUGUACAUUGAUGGCCCUGUUUAAAUAAUUUUUAAUAUAUUUCUGACAUUUCCCCUACCAACAACCCUUCCUCUAAGCCGUACAAGCUAGUAGCAGUAUAGAUGCAACAAAUCUUUAUUCACUAUGACUGUUGUUCUACAGCGGCUAAAAACCGAAACAAAAAUUACCCCCGGAAUGAGUUAUACCAUGAUUCAAUUUCAUGAAGCAGAUUGUUACUUGCAAUGUUUAUUUAGGAAUUAGCAUGCAGGGUUUUUUUUGGUCAUAGUCUUGAAGCCUUGCUAGCCUGUAGACUCACAGUCUAACAGGUACAACACAAAAGGGGGGAAGAAAUGGAGGCAAAAGAGGGAAUUUAGGGAGAUGAAAGAGGGAUUUAGGUUUGAUGAGGCCCUAAGCUACUGAAGGUAAUAGGGCCUUUUAUAUGUCCAGCUGUCCCUUGUCAACAACAAAUUGUCGCUGUUUUUUGUGUUGUGUUGAAUAUAUGCUAUAUGGUAACUUAUGGACCUAAUAGGUAUCUAAAGCCAUUUGCACAUAACAAAAUAUGUAUUGUAUCCAAGUAAUUGUUGAACUGAAAUACAAUUAAGAAGAAGUAUAUUACUAGUGAAAUACAAUUAAGAAUUUUUUGGGGGGCCCCACCCUAAGCUAUAGCUUGUUUAGCUUAUACGUAAAUCCAGCACUGAUUGGAACAGCUUCUCCUUCACCGGUCAAUGGAUGGGGUCAGGUUGGUCUCUCUAUUGCCACGAAGUUCUUCCUGGGAGGCUUCCUAGAUCACCUGGUUGUACUUUGCAUCCUUUCAGCCCCAUGGGUCUCUGCUAAUAGGCACUUAUAGCCUAGUAUCCUCCUUUUCUAUGCUAUAGCCUCUCUGCUAUCUACAGAUGGAUGAUCCACCCAUGAAGUCGCUUGGGCUCCACUCACAGUUCAAAGCAGCUGGGAAUGACUGUUUGACACCAAAUUCAAGAAAUAGGCUCCAUUCCCACCAAACCUCCUUGCAGCUGCAGAGAUUUCCCAACGCAGCAGCAACUAGCUCUGCCAAAAGCAUCACAUUCAUUCAUACCUUUAAAUAUAUUGCUUUCUUCAUGAAUUGGAAUAAAUAUGUCUCUGGCACUCAGAGGAAGUUUUCAGAGAGAUGAACUUUGAAUAGAUGUCUUGGCUGAUGCAGAUGAUAACGGAGUAGAUGGAAACUACCUACCUACCUACCUUCUCGGUUUUCCCCCUUCCCAGGGCUUUGAGUUUAUCUCCACCAGCUCCUCCUGGGAGGAUUCCAUCAGCCUUGAUGCUGCUCAGGAGACAUCCACACGGAGACCCUGUAAAUCUCAGAGAGCUGGAAGCAUUUGAGGUCUUGAACUUUAUCAGGUUUGAAUGUGCGAUUGUGAAAGUAAAGAGCAGAGAAGUGACAGCACUCUGUAAAUCAAGCCAGGAGGAGAUCAACGCUGUCAGAGGCAGGACUUUGUCAAAGGCAAAAGCAGGAGGAAGAAGCUCAUUGCAGGAGCCAUUAUUAAUAAGAGAGAGGAAUAGAAGAGAAGAGAAGAGAAGAGAAGAGAAGAGGGGAAUGUCCUCUGAAAUUUGGAGGGGUUUUUUUCUACAUCCUAGAGAAAAAAUGGCUCCUUGCUUUCUGAUAGCCUUCACAGAUGAUAUGACUGUAUUUUUAAAAAAUAAAAAUGAAGUGUCAAGGGCUGGGGGCAUGUUUUAAAGGAAUAUUUCAUUAUAUGUACUGUAUAUACUUAAGGAGUAAUCUUUCAGACACAAGGGUGUCAGCAAUUGUGCAAGAGUAGAACAUAGGCACGCGGGUGGCGCUGUGGGUUAAACCACAGAGCCUAGGACUGCCGAUCAGAAGGUCGGCGGUUCGAAUCCCCGCGACGGGGUGAGCUCCCGUUGCUCGGUCCCUGCUCCUGCCAACCUAGCAGUUCGAAAGCACGCCAAAGUGCAAGUAGAUAAAUAGGUACCGCUCCGGCGGGAAGGUAAACGGCAUUUCCGUGCGCUGUUCUGGUUCGCCAGAAGCGGCUUAGUCAUGCUGGCCACAUGUACGCUGGCUCCCUCAGCCAAUAAAGCAAGAUGAGCGCCACAACCCCAGAGUCAUCUGCGACUCGACCUAAUGGUCAAGGGUCCCUUUACCUUUACCUUUACCUUUACCUUUACAACAUAGGCACAUAGGAAGUUGCCUUAUUCUAAGCCAGACCUUUGGUCCAUCUAACUCAGUAUCGUCACUCUACACUGACUGGCUGCAGCUUCUUCAGGUUUUCAGGCAGGGCACAUUAUCAAUUUUACCUGGCGAUACCAGGGAUUAAACCUGGGAUCCUCUGCAUUCAAGGCAGAUGUUCUACCACUGAGCUACAAGGAGAGUUUCCAGAAGGGGAAAUAUUGGCUAUAUUGCUCUAUUCAUGCACCAAGGGUGCUUCCAUGUAGCAGGACUUGGUACUACUCAUGUAUGCAAGUUUUGCACAGCAUCCAUACAGCAGCAUUCUCAUCAAGUUGCCAUCCCAUAUUAUUCCCAUUUAAGGAAGUCUGUUUCCACAGAAAAUCCGGUAAGUUUUCUUUUCUUUGACUGCAGAAACUAUGAAACUGGGUUAAUGGAAGGUGGAGGGUAUAGAUAACAUUUUGAUGAAGAUGAUAUCAUAUGGGCAUCAACACUUACAUGUAAGAGCAACUCUGAGGCCACAAUAAACUGCCAUAUUAAAAUGCCUUCAUUUGUUUUUUAUUUAGGAAGGUGUAUAUACUGCUCAAUCAACAACAACAAAACAACUUUAGUCGAUUUAAAAUUUAUGCAUAUUUACUCAAACUAUUUGCAAUGGUGCUUACUAAGUGUGCAACCUAAUCAUUAUAUGAUAAAACCUUUACAACUAGAACUUUUACAACUAUUCCCAUUCUGGUGCUUACCAAGAACAAGACAAUAUGAUCAGACCAAAAUAAUACCUGAGUACAGGAAAAGGUGUCAUUGAACUGGUUUAAGCCACUGUUGAUACAUGCUUUCGAUAAAUAAAUUGUGCCCUUUAGUCCAUUGUUUCCCUUUCUUCAUAGCUGAACUGAGAAACUGUUGUACAGAAUGCUGGUCUAAAUGUUUUACUCAUCAAAGCUAAAUUACAACAAUUAUUUCAUCCUAGUGAGCAUGAGAUUACAGUAUCUAAUUUAACCUCAUCGUUUUGAGAAGAGGUUUAGAAUGAGAAUGCUGUUUAAAUACAGGUCUUGUUUUUAAAGAUGAAGAAAAAUCUAUGUCUGAGAGGAAACGAACUUCAAGGGGACCUGGCAGGAGAACAUUUUAACUGUGUCAGCAACUUACAUUAAGUUCCUUCAGAGAACAGAUUUAUUUUCCUCCAUUGUUUUUCUCCCUCUACAGAGAUUUUAAAAUGCCAGUAGCUUUUGCAUGAGUGAUGCAUGGGCAAGAACCAUGAGAUCUGAGCUUAAAUCAACAUGCCCUUUUUGUGAUGAUGGUAUCUAUAAGGUGCUUUUUUAAUAAAAUAAAAAAUAAACUUAUGCUCCUGUAUUGGUUUUGUUUUGGGGGGCUACCUCUAAAACUGUAACAUAUGAAUGAGUCAAAGCUGUGUUUAGAAACAAAUAUACUUAUACAAGCACACUCUCCCUCUGAUGGAAUUGGCAGUCUUAAUAUUCAGGGGACUCUCCCCACCCCUGAUUGUCAUUUCCACAAGCUAUGUUUUAUUAAAGAUUAACCACUAAGAAUACUAACCAAUACAUUUUCUCUUUGACCGAAGAAAUAUCUAUGAUCACAAAUGCACUGUAAAUCACAUUUUUUAUAAUGAUAAUGAUAAUAAUAAUAAUAAUAAUACCGUAAUUUACUACUUAUACCCCACCCAUCUGGCUGGGCCUCCCCAGCCACUCUGGGCUGCUACCAACAGAAUAUUUAAAACAAUAAAACAGCAAACAUUAAAAACUUCUCUAAACAGGGCUGCCUUCAGAUGUCUUCUAAAAGUCAGAUGGUUGUUUAUUUCCUUGACAUCUGAUGGGAGGGCGUGGACGCCACUACUGUGAAAGCUCUCUGUCUGGUUCCCUAUAACCUCACUCCUCAUGGUGAGGGAACCACCAGUAGGGCCCUCAGUGCUGGACCUCUGUGUCCUGGCUGAAUGAUGGGGGUGGACACGCUCCUUCAGGUAUACUGAAGUAUCUUAUAACUGGGAUAGCUUAGGCCAGCUGUUUUAAGAAAGCUUUUUGAAGGCAUAGCAGAGGGUUUUCUGUUCUUUCAAGUGAGUGACAAUUUCUUUCACUUUCUGUGGUGAGUCAAGAACCUCAACAUUCCAGGUAAAGGGAUUAUAAUGAAGAGAAAAAGGUUUCUUGGUCUCAAGAGCAUAUUUUUGGAGCUGAGACUUCAUAUCUAGAGUGCUCUUCUACAAAAUAGUUGGUCUGGAAGGACUGGUCUUGAUGAGGCUGGAUGGCCACCACAUCUGAGUUUGUAUUGUGGCUUCUUUGACAAAGCAUAAAAACUCUUCAAAGGUCAGAUUCAUGGGCGUUUCCAUACAGCAGUCAGAAAAGAUGCACAGGCAGUUAAAACGUUCCUUUGUAACAAAAGAUAAAAGUUUCUAAACUAUUGGUAGAGAAAAGUGUUGGUUUUAGACUCCAUCCUGGUCUGAAACAAAAAUAGCUGGUUAAAGCCAUGGUUAUAACCAUGCAGCUGGAGCAACCAGCUCAGACCUCCUUACAUACUGUAUGGAGAGUGGGUCUGUAAGGUACUUUCAAGCCAUCACCUUCCAAAAUGUCUUUGCUAAUCUUUAACACAGAACUAAAGCUCUAACUGACUUCUCAGUUCCACCACCCUCUCCCUGGGGAAUCCUUGAAAUAAGUGUAUUUACGUUAAGGCAGCAUAUGUCUAUAAGAUAAUAAAAUGUUAUGUUUGUUUUCUAUUACACAUUAUUUGAUCUUUCAUAGAGCACUCCCUCCAACCUUCUAAAUAUGUGUGGAAAUCACCCAAAAGCACAGAGGGUUGACAUUUCCUUUACAAGGAUGAGAUGUCAUGUGGUUUCUGGGGUUAACCCACUCAUCAAAUAAAACUACAAGACUGAGCCAUACUAUAUUGAACAAAACAAUAUUCCAACCAUCCGUCUCCUGAGCUGCUUCCAGGGAGCCAGCAAAAUAGCUUACCCACCACAAUCUACUAAUUUUUGUUGUUGUCACCCACUUAAAGAAACCUUGUUUAAUUGUAGAGCAUGAGUAGUUUGAUCAAUUCAUUCAUUCAUUCAUUCAUUCAAUUUGCAUAAAGUUGCCAAUGUUGAGAUUGGGAAAAGGAAAAUUAUAUUCCGUAGCCUCCUCUGUCUGAAGUGCUCCCUGUUUAGCCUAGGCUUUAUUUAUUUUUUGGAGAGAAAUAUUGUACAUUAACAUUCUACAAAAAAAAACCCCAACACCACCUUUGGUGAUUCUCUUUCAGAGCAGUGAUUUUCAAAUUGUCCCAUGGAACCUUGUGGAUCCUCACAGGUUUAUUGGGAUCCUCAAGGAGAGAGGAUCAAGCAAACUGGAUGAAAUUUCCUCCAAGACAGUCCCACAAAAAGAACAAUAAGAAUAAAAAAAAUACGACAUCUAAAAUGAAAAGGGGGGGGGAGCAUAGAACUCCAAUCCAAAGUAAAACAACAUUAGAUACAGAAUGAAAAACUCACAUUAAGACAUUCCACAAAACUAGGUGAAAAGGAGCACUUUGGCAUGUCACCAAGAUGUAUACCAUGCUGGUAACAGGUGAACAUCUGAUGAGUAGGGCAGGUUCCAGAUCCUGGAAGCCACUACCAAGAAGGCUCUUCCACAUGCCGCCACACCUUGAACCUCUGGGUGGCACAUGGAAGAGAGAUGUUCCUGCAUUGCAGGGGGUUGGACUAGAUGAGGUCCAUUCCAACUCUACAAUUCUAUGCUUCUAUGAUUCUUCGUAUAGCAACGUCAUGCCAUAAUGAUAUUCCACACUUUACAGCAGCUCUUUCCAUUAGUUAUCGCUGCUGCAGUGAGUGACGUUCUGGAUGAGAAUGCUAAUAUUUUGCCAUUCCAUUCAUUACAACUAUUGUCAAAAUAUGGUCCAGCGUGGAGUAGCUAAACAAGAGAUGCAUCUCACGGAAGUCAAGAGCCAAAUCCCCGUUUAUUUAUUGGCAGGCAAUUACAUCACGGUGGCAGUCAUGCCCACAAGAUUGCCAAAUUCAGCAAUAAAGAUAAAGAUGACAUCAGCAGCAUUGUUCCUAAAAUGUGAUUCAGCGCAGAUUCCAAAUAACAACACCAGCUUCUCUCGUGGGGGGCGGGGGACCCAAAGCAUGCCGGGAGUAAGAUGUCCCCUCUGGGUAGAUAACCAGAAUAGCAACUUGCAUCAGGAGCCAGGGAGGCUAACCUGUGGGAAAUGAGACUCAUAAUGUUACAUCUGUUUAUCAAAACCAGUAGCCCAUUGACCUCAAAGGGGCUGAUUCACAGCUAGAGAUGAUAACAAAACUUCCCCAGUCAGUCACAUGCAGACUGCAUCACAUGCAGUCUCCAUUUUGUCACGUGCUGCGUUUGGGGGUGGGGAAAGGACAAUAGAAACCAGAAGGAAGGUGUGGAGCCAAGUUGCUUAGCGUCAUGGGUGCUGGUCUUGGAGCCGCCAGACUGCAGCAGCGAGGAGAGACUGGCUGCGGUGCUGCUGUAAUAUGUCACAGUGUGUGGAAUCACACUGGCAUCACUGUAUGUCACUUGAAGUGUCACAGUUCCUCCAAAGUGAUGUGGGUGGUGUAAAUGGCUCCCCCCCUUUUUUUUUUAGCCUGGCAGCAACCAUGUGAGAUAGGUUAGCCCAAGAGAUAGCAAUUGAGCCAGGGUCAACACCAACACUUUGAAUUGUGCUCGGAAACAUACUGGGAGCCAAUGUAUAUUCUUUAGUUAUAUUAGCCAAUGUUAUAUCGUCCUGGCAGCCACUCCCAGUCACCAGUCUUAUCUGCCGCAUUCUGGAUUGGUUGCAUGAAUUCUGGGCUUCCUCUUCUGGAAUGAAAACCCUGGGAGAUCAGGGUUUGCAUUGCCAUGGAGAGAGCCUUGCAUACAUACAUCUGUGUAUAGGUCCCCUUCAGACUGAUGCUGAACUGCACAUGAGCUGGGGCAUGACCAGUAGAUUUGCUGGCAUCUAGAGGGCAAGGCUUAGCAGAGCACUUCCUUCAUUUCUCUGGUGGCUAAUCGACUGGACAGGGCUACAGUGGAACUUAGGUAAUUCUGCUGUAAUUGUUUUCACUGACACACCUCUGUUUUUAACCAUUUACAGAUGUCACUUUUUGAAGCUAUCAAGACAAAUAACACCAUGGUUUUGAGCGCAAUUGGCAUGUUAUACAUGCAUUUUAAUGUAUACAAAAACCACCUCUGGAUAGUGGACAUGACAUUGGGCUAGAUAGUACUGUUUUGAUGGUGGUGUUAUACAAAAACCACCUCUGGAUAGUGGACAUGACAUUGGGCUAGAUAGUACUGUUUUGAUGGUGGUGUUGCCUUGUCCAACAAGCUAGGCUUCAUUGGUCAUUUGGUCCCUUCAAUAAUUGUAUACUGUGGUGCAGAAAAUCGGGCUCGGCUGCACUGCUGCUAUGCUCUGAGUGGUCAGCUAGUUGCUCCAUCACACAGCCAGAUCCAUUUUCAGGCUGUGUUGAGGCGUGUGGGAAAAGGUUUACUAAUCGCAGGUUGAAAUUUGAACUAAAAAUGAAAACAAGGCUGGAAUAAUGCCCUGCACUGCGGAUAAGAUAAGAAAAGCUAACAUUACAGCCAUUUCAAACCUAUAAAGUUCAAUGAUUAAAAUCACCAACUGCUCUGAGCUUGCGGCACGUUGUGGGAUGGAGUGCUCAGGCCAGUCUGCGCUCCUCUCUCACGCAGCCCUGACAAGGAACUUAGACUGGCUUGCUUGGAAAGACAUGCCACUGAAAUGACAUAAGAGCACAAGAAGAUUGUGCUGGAUCAGGCCAAUAUCCCAUCUAUAUUCUCACAGUGGCCAACCAGAUGCCUUUGGGAAACCUGCAAGCAGGUUUCCUCUUGUGUUUUCUGGCAACUGGUGUUCAGAAGAUUUCCGGUCUCCAUCUGUGGUUCCGGUCAACUGGAAAGAUGUCUCACCCAAGGAAUAGGCACAUUACUGUUGUUGUACAUGUUCCAGAACCACAUGAAAGUUGCUGCAGUGCCCACAGGGCAAGCUUGCAGGCACUUCCCCUCUCUCCACUCUCUCCCUAUAAGCUUACUACUGUGCACCAAUGCAGGAGGCCAGAGCUAUGCAUUUUAUAUUUAUUUCCUGCAGAGAUGCCCCAGUCAAAGAGCUUGGGGUUGGUACCCAUGGUCCUUUGCUUCCCAACUCAUUCUAUCUUCAGAACAGUCCUGUGAGGUAGGUUACACGACAAGGUCCCCAACUACGUGGCCAAAUAUGCAGAGCUCCCCAGUUCCAAGCUGACUCCCUAAUCAGAAUACAUCAUGUCACACAUCUUCUGUGUCACUUCAGAAGCGAGACAAUUAUAAUGCAAGACAGCACAGUGUGUGGCCCACCAUGCGAAACACUGUGCCGUGUACAGCUAUGGCACUUUUUCUUUCUUUCAGGGUGGCUGCUAGGUUGCAUUUAGCUUGAUGGGUCACAUAUUGUACAGACAUGUUGUAGCAUGUAGACAUGUGCAGAGGAGCAGGAGUGGGAGCUUUCAACUGCAAGUCAGGUCAUGGGGAAUGACAGCCUGCGUGUAGGAAACCAUGUCAUGUCUGAAGGUUUUAUGUUUUGAUUUUAUUCUGUGAACUGCCCUGAGAACUCCGGGUAUAGGGCGGUAUAUAAAUUCAAUAAUAUUAAUAAAACACCUAGAAAGGAUCAAUCAUUAAGUUGACUACUUAUUAGGUGUAUUGCCUGUAGUAUCAGAGGCAGUGUGUUUCUGAAAACUAGUUGUUCAAGAGCACAAAUAGAGAGCACAGGAGCCAACUGCUAGGGGCUGCGGUCCCUUCACCCUCCCCCCCAAUAAAUAUUUGAAUGGGUCAGGAACCCCCCCCCCCCCAAAGUUGAUAGACAUCGCCAUUCAAAUGGUGUGUGUGCCCCACAUCAUGUGGUCGAUUAUGCAGGCCAGGGCUUAUCUGCCCCAUCCCCAAUAUUUUAUUCACGUUGGCACCCCUUUUAGGGAGAGUACUGUUGAGUUUAUGAUCUGCCAUUGUGAUAACAGGGUGCUGGACUAGAUGGGCCAGCAGUGCACUCCUUAAGUUCUAAUGUAGGGUUUGGAUUCAGAUGACCUAAGAACCUAUCUUUAUUUCUAUGUGGUCAAUGCAUUGCCGCUCUUGCAUCGCAGCUCUGUGAGUGCAGCUUUCUACCAAUUGAAGUGCAGAGUAUUUGAGGACCGGUACAUUUGCAGGGAUAGGACGUGGGUGGUGCUGUGGGUUAAACCACAGAGCCUAGGACUUGCCGAUCAGAAGGUCGGCGGUUCGAAUCCCCGCGAUGGGGUGAGCUCCCAUUGCUCGGUCCCAGCUCCUGCCCACCUAGCAGUUCGAAAGCACGUCAAAGUGCAAGUAGACAAAUAGGUACUGCUCCGGCGGGAAGGUAAAUGCCGUUUUUAUGCGCUGCUCUGGUUCACCAGAAGUGGCUUAGUCAUGCUGGCCACAUGACCCAGAAGCUGUGCCAAUAAAGCGAGAUGAGCGCCGCAACCACAGAGUCGAUCAUGACUGGACCAAAUGGUAUGGGGUCCCUUUACCUUUACUUUUACCUUUACAUUUGCAGGGAAACCAAAAUGCUUGUUUACAAAGCUAUCGUACUACCGACCUUACUAUAUGCUUGUGAAACAUGGACCACUUAUAAACGCCAUCUCCAACUCCUCAAAAGAUUCCAUCAAUGGUGUCUCAGAAAAAUUUUACACAUCACUUUGGGAAGACAGGCAAACCAAUGCCAGUGCACUGGAAAAAGCAAAGAUCACCAGUGUCAAAGCAAUGAUUCUUCAACAACAUCAACUUGGUUGGACUGGUCAUGUUGUGUGGAUGCCUGAUUGUCAUUUUCCAAAGCAACUACUCUAUUCCAUACUUAAAAAUGGAAAGCGUAAUGCUGGUGGUCAACAAAGGAGUUUAAAGAUUCUCUCAAAGCAAGUCUAAAACACCAACAACUGGGAAACACUGGCCUGCGAGUGCUCCAACUGGAGAACAGCCUUUACCAAAGGUGUCAUGGGCUUUGAAAACGCUCAAACUCAGGACAAAAGGGAGAAACGUGCUAAGAGGAAGGCACAUUUGACAAACCCUCACCAUGAUCAACUCCCACCCAGAAACCUAUGUCUCCACUGUGGAAGGAUGUGUGGAUCCAGAAUUGGCCUCCACAGUCACUUAUGGACUCAUUGUUAAAACCGCGUUUAUGGAAGACAAUCUUACUUGAGUGAUCGCCAAAAAGAAGCAGCUGAAGCUCUUAUCUUGGACAGUAAAGCAACAAUUUGAGAGGACUUUUCACUUCUCUCUCUCUCUCUCUCUCUCUCUCUCUCUCUCUCUCUCUGUGUGUGUGUGUGUGUGUGGAUUUACUUCCCAGAGUUUAAAGGGCAGGUUUUUUAAAAAUGAAGGUAGCCUAGACAAAAUAUUUUCCGAAUGUAUCUUUUUCCUUUGAAUGCAUUUCUUGAUUUGCUGUCUGGGGGAGUUCUGAGAGUGGGACUCCUCGCAUCCAUUGGGUGGCCUUGAUAACCCUGCCUUGGCAAGGAGUGCGGAUAAGAGGAGGGGGAGGGGAAGCCCAGCCCAGAGCCUGGCUCUCUCCGUCAGGUCCGCUCUUAUCAGCCUGCUCGGAGCUGAGCAGCAAUUUAUUAAGCACAGCGUGUUACAUAAACACAGCUUGAAAAGAAUGCGCGUCUCCCCUUUGAUAGCUACCAAAGUGACCUUUCGUUCUCUACUUAAUGCAUAGGCCCAGCCUGGAGACACGUUGCCCACGGAUCCCAGGGACUUGGCACCGCGCCCUGAUCCUAACGCCGCCGCCACGUCCCAGGUUCCUGGGGCGCAUUUCAGUCUCACGGGCUUCCGAGGAUUCAGAGAUGCGCAGCGCAGAGCAAUCGAAGGCCGGGUCUCAUCCGAGGCACACACACGACUCCUCUCCAGCGCAAAAGGGUUACACAUAUUUAAACAUUAUUAAAAUUACAGGGAGUUAGAAUUUUAGCUCGACUGUGCACUUCCAAGAAUUUCUUCCGUUUCUUUCUUUUUUUAAAAUAAAUUCUGUAUUCAGGACCCCAGCAAUAAAAGUAAUGCGAUGAUGAGGAUGAUAAAUUUUGAGGUGUUUC
rnacentral:lncRNA from 1 species